rnacentral:lncRNA from 1 species
GUUAGAUGGGUUUGCUUCUACCUAUCAGUUUAUGUGCUUAACAACGAUUGAAUUCGGUAAAAAAAAAAAGUGCUCCUGGAUUAUAUCGUUCAAAAAGAAUUGAAUAUGUAUAUAAAAUUAAUUGUAUGAUUUUGAUAAAUUGGAAAACCCUUUAAAUUGAAUUGGGGCCAAUUUCUCAAGUCUAAGAGAAAAAUCAAGAAAUAUCUUUACAAGCUGUGAAUAGAUGUGAUUGUGUAAAUGAGAUAUGAGAGGAGAACGAACAAACUUUCAGAUCAGGAGGAAAGAGUUUGCUCAGGAGGGAAAUCAAGUGAAAAAGGCUCACAAGAAUAAAUUUAAUAAACAAUUAUGUGCCUUUGGAUUAUAUAUAUAUAUAUAUAUAUAUAUAUAUAUAUAUAUAUAUAUAUAUAUAUAUAUAUAUAUGAGGACAUAUCAUAUGAGAAUGGUAUUUUUAUGUGAGAAUGUGAGAAUGGAUUUUCAGCCUUCAGAUUAUGAUUUAACGGCUGAGAUUUAAAUGGCCAAUUAAAAAAAUGUUGUGCCUCUCCGUUUCUAAUAACCAGCGCUUCUCAUCUUCUUUCACAUACCUGCAAUUCAACCUUCAACCUUCUUCUUCUUCUUCCAUGAGACCCAAACGAACAAAUCAUUUCUCUUAUCUUUUUUAGUUAUAGAUGGAUAGAUUUCUUUUUCCCUUUCCAUGUCCAUAUUUUUUUUUCUCGUUAUUGAUUCUUGUUAAUGGUCGGCUGACUCAAUCUGCAACACCCCCAGUUUAUCUAUAAAUUUAUUUGAAAACGUUUAAAAAUAUGCUGAAUUCGAUGGCGACGGUGGUCGGCAGCUGCCGGAGUAGAGGUGAAUUCGAUGGCGACGGCGGUCAGAGGCAGAGGUGAAUUUGACGGCGUACACGGUCGUUGACAGCCGUAGGCAAAGGUGAAUUCGACGGCGACGGAGGUCGGAGGCUAAGGUGUUAAGGGCGAUAGAGAGAACACAAAUGGUACAGACCGUAUUAAAAUGAGAUCUGAAAAAAAUAAUUACGAAGGAAGGUGAACAGUUUGGAUGAGAUGUAGAUUCCAGAAGGAGGAGAAGAAGGAUUGGAGAAGGGAGGAAGAUGGAUUCCAAAAGGAGAAGCAGAUAGAUUGGAGAAGGGAAGAGCGUGAAUAGUUUGGAUGUGGAGAGGAACAUGUGUGAUUUAAAAUAAAGUUUUCAAUCUAGACCAUGAAUUUUAAUCAAACGGUUGAGAUUCAUUCUCGUCAUUCUCACAUAAAAUAGUCAUUCUUAUUUGAUAUGUCCUCAUAUAUAUAUAUUAUUGAAGAAGCUAAACUAGCCCACCAAAGAUAACACAUAGGAGAAUUGAACAUGAGAUCUUGAGAGGAACACACACUUCAGGGUUUCAAACCAACACCACCAUAUUUUAAAUUUCCCAUAGGCUCCCACCACACAAAAAAAAAUCUUAUUCGAGGCAUGUACGAUACUAAAUGUGAAUACUUCUCUCAAGCAGGAUAUAAACGUUGGUUUGUCAUUUUGUGAAAGUCUAGCCUCUUUCGAUAAAGACACAUUGACUUUUACAACCUAACUUUUAUUUUUUAAUUAUUAUUAUUUUGGAAUGAGUCAAAGCCCAAUCCUAGAAUUAGAAGGCCUAAUAUGGCAUUUGGUCCAAAUAAAAAACUUCAUUAACCACUACAAAGCUGCAAAGCACUGAGAAAUCAUCGAGAGUUCACUAUAGACCCUAAAUCAUGAUCGAAGGGUUGCCUGACCUAUGUACCGCAAAGGUCGCAUCCAUUUAUGUUCAACAACCAUAAAAAGAAGCAACCCAAUGCAAAAAGAUACACAAUAUCUUUAUGAGAAAAACCUCAAAGCUCAUUAAAAUCUCAUUGACUUAAGUAUUCGAGUAUCUUUGCAGGUUUCAACUAAAAACAAUUGCACUCUGCCACAUUUAACCACACUACUUCGCUUUCAAUCAUAUUCCACCAUAUCAUACCUACUCCGAUCAUCAUCUCAAAUCGUAGCAAGAUAUAUUAUUAUUCUAACUAACUAUACUUUUUAGCCGACAUUUUGGUCGCCGACAUUCUUAUGUUAAAUGAGAGAAAACUAUUAUGUAAAACAACCAUUUUAUAAAUAAAAAAUAUACAAAAUGAAAAAAGAAUAAAAAAAAACAACAUAACACAAGGAAGGGCCAAGGAGUCGGUGUAAACUAAAGCCAAAACCUUUGUUAUUCCAAACUCUUUCAUCCCUCUCUUUCUCUCUCACAGAUGAUUAAUCAAAAAACCCUAAUUCUCUUCAUUUCCAUUUAUGGGUCAAUGUAAUAUUUUCCUAAACAACUAACAUAUAUGUUGAUAAUCAAUUAAAAUAAUGAUGUUAAUAACUUAAGAAUAUAACAUAAUGUAGCAUUUGUUAGGCAAUAAAUAAUAGUAAAUGGUUAUGGGUAGCCUAUAUUGCUCAAUCUAUUUUAUCUUAUUAAUACGAUGACUUGUGUUAUGUUUGUUUCUCCUAGUGACUUCUUGUGCAAUGUUUAUGCGAGUAUAUGAUAAGUUGCUAGGUGAAGAUGACGUGGAAGUUUGCAUUAAGGAGUGAUUGACAUGCGCCAAUGACAUUUAUAGUAAUUUAGUAUGAUUUAUGUUUUGUUUUAAGCCCUCGUGGUUUGAACCUGAAAUUUAUUAUUUGAGAUUAUAGAACUGAAGAUGAGAUUAUGUCUCAUCUAAGGAAGGUUCUAUUUUACUUGAUUUGUUGUUACAUUCAUAUUUUUUCAUUCAAGUUGAACCAUUUUGCACGAUUUAAACUGUUUUCAAAUUUUAAGGUAAAUAGUAUAACAUUAGGCCUUUUUGGAUCAAAUCCUUAUCAUAAACUAUUCUGGUUAACUCACAACCUAGUGGUAGAUGAUAUAUCUCAAGAAUUAAAACAAAUAUAUAUAUAUAUAUGUAUAUAAAAAACAAAGUUUAAUCUUAAAUACAUAAUUUAGUUGUUACAAAUACGGUCUAAGUGCUAAAUAAACUUGUAAAUUUUAAUUAUGAAAAAUGCCACUCGUUCGAAAGAUUUAUGGAUCCAUAUCUGAGUACAAUCGAGAGAGAAAUGAAAGUCAAUGCAAAGGAGAAUGCGAGAUAGAAGUCUUUACCAAAAUAUAAACCCUAACUUGAAAGUUGUUGGACCUACAUAUAUUUUACCCCACACACACACACGGGAGAAGGCAAACUAGGCCACCAAAGUUAGCACAUGAUAGAAUUGAACCUGAGAUCUUCAGAGGAACCUGAGAUCUUGAUUUUUACAACCUAACUUUAUUAUUCUAUUAUUAUUGUUCUGGAAUGAGUCAAAGCUCGAUCCUAGAGGUAUAUGACGUUUGGUCCAAAUAAAAACUACCUUUACCGCCACAAAGCCGCAAAGCAUUGAGAAAUCAUCGAGAGUCACUCUAGACCCUAAAUCACAAUCCAAGGGUUCCCUGACAUAUGCAUCACAGAGGUCGCAUCCAUCUACACUCAACAACCAUAAAAAGAAGCAACCCAAUGAAAAAAAGAUACACUAUAUUAUUAUGCGAAAAAAACUCAAAGCUCAUUAAAAUCUCAUUGAUUUAAGUAUUCGAGUAUCUUUACAGGUUUCGACGAAGAACAAUUACGCCCACCACAUUCAACCACACAAUAUCGCUUUCAAUCAUAUUCCACCGCAUCAAUACCUACUUCGAUCGUCAUCUCAAAUCGUAAUAUGAUACAUUAUUAUUCUAACUAACUAUAUUUUUUAGCCUACAUUUUGAUCCCCAAUUUUCUUAUGUUAAAUGUGAUAAACUAAUACGCAAAAACAAUCAUUUUUUAAAUAAAAAAUAUACAAAUGAAAAUAAGAAUAAAAAAAAAACCACACAACACAAGGAAGGGCCAACAAGACACUGUAAGCUAAAGCCAAAGCCUUUGUUAUUCCAAACUCUCUCCUCUCUCAUCUCUCUCUCUUUCUCUCUCACAGAUGAUUCAUCAAAAAACCCUAAUUCUCUUCAUUUCCAUUUCUGGGUCAAUGUAAUAUUUUCCUAAAACCAAUUUCUUAGUAUAUUAUUAAAUAAGUGUGAUUUUGUUCGUUUCUGGUUUUUUCUCAAACUGGUUACUCAUAAAAACACUUGAUCACAUUUCUCCUUAUGUAAAUUCUACAUUUUUAAUUUAUUUAUCUAUCUGGGCUUCCAUAAAAAAGUGAUUAUCUUCACUUAAUCCGUUUUCUCUUUCCAUUUUCAUCAUAAAAAUUUCAUCUUUUUCAGCUUAACUUUUUAAGCGCUUUUUUAGGCUUUAAUUCUCUACCAUGGCCACUGUUAUCACUGCUGACAUUUCAGCUGAUGCCAACAAAAUGGACUCAAAACCAAAAGCUGAAUCUGAAUUCAGUGUUCAGAAACUUGUUGACAUGUUCACAAAGCUGAAUCCUUUGGCUAAGGAAUUUUUUCCUUCAUCUUAUUCUCCUAAUCAUGAUCAUGGCCGUCAAGGGUUUAAUCUCAUCACUCCUAACCAUUUUCUGGUCAACACUAAGCCUUCUGCUAAUGAUAAUAACCCAAAUAAUCGAAGGGUAUGAUUUUUUUUCUUUGAUCCCUCAUUUUGAUUAUUAUUUUUUUAUAGUUUUGAUUUUUAAUUUUUUUGUGAUGAUUUUUGUGAUGGGUUUUGCUUAAUUGUUUCACAUUUAGCUGAAUUGUGUUUGUGCUGCUUGGAUUAUUGAAAGUUUUGAUUUUUUUUGUUUUGGAUUUUCUCUUGACAAUUAUAUUCUGAAUUGUGUGUGAAAACCCUAUAUCUUGAUUGGAAAUUUUUCUGCUUUUUUUGUAUGGUAAAGGUUAAAUUUUUGAUCAAUUUAGUGAAAGAAAGUAGGAGAGAAACCAUGCAUCAGGAAUUGUUAACUGUGUGAUAUGGAAAAAAAAUUCAAUUUUGGAAAAAUUCAACUGCAUCACCUUAUUCAAAGGGAACUAUUGCAGGAUGCAAAUUUAGCCUUAAAACAAAGAGUCUGUAUAUUCUGUUUAUUGACAAAUUUUUAGGUCUAAAUUGUGUCUCUGACAUUUGAUAGUACUUACAUGCAUUGUCUAUGAAUUUUGUACUUUCUGUGUGAUUUGUUUGUAAUUUAUGUUCACUGCAUUCGUGGCCACUGCAUUGUGAUGAUAUUUAUGGAAUCAUUUUAUCCGCAAUCUUUCGACAAUUUCAGUAAGCACAAUGCGACUGUUACUUGUUGUCGUUAUUCGAUUUCAUUGGCGAACAUUUUUUUAAAGUAUUUACAGUUUACGUUACAUUAUGUAGCUAACGACAACUGUUUACGUUAUGAUACAACAGCUUGUUGUCUUUUCUCUUAUUCAUGAUUGACUCAAAAUCGAUUAUAUGACACGUAUCAUGCUAUGGCGAGCCUACGAAUCUGUUAUGUCAAAACUGAUGUGUGUAUCUGUUGAAAUGAUUUUGUCGACAACAUCGAGUUAUCAGUUUAUGUCUGAGUUAAUCAUGAUAUUGUCAUUCUCUGUGUUCACUGAAAAUUUGCACUGCCUUCUUGCAGAGGAGAAACAAUUUUACCCAAGGGAGGAGAAGGUUGAACGGAAGAUCGCUAAAGGCUCAGAGAGAAGAUAGCGUUAGAAGAACUGUAUAUGUUUCUGAUAUUGAUCAGCAUGUAAGUGAAGUGAGAAUGGCAUUAUUAAAAGCUGAUGCUGAUAUUGUGUAUUUCGUAUCCGAUUUUGAUAAUAGAAAACCAAAUUAUUUAAACACUGUCUUGUUUUGGUUUAGGUUACUGAGGAGCGGCUUGCAGCCUUAUUCACCAAUUGUGGACAAGUAAGUUAUGAGUAUUUAUUGAUAGUUUGGUUAGCAUGGUAAAAAGUGUUACAUGCUUAAUAAUUUUUGACUACGACAUUAAUAUUGCAGACAGUAUUCCAAUGUUGAUGGAAUUUCCCCCCUCCAAAUGUGAAAUAUGUUGAACAUUGAUGAUGUGUGCCUAUUAUGAUGCUUUAUUAUGUCGAAUUUUGUCGCUUUCUUAUUUUCACACAUUGAUCCGAGCCGUUACUAUCAAUUUCUUCAUUCAGCUACGUGGAACAUUCCUUUUUGUCGUUUACAUAUAUGCUUACUCUUGAGUUUGGUAAUCUGAGUUAUGAGGUUAUGCUGUUAUUUCUUUAAUUUUCUCAUUUAAAUCCAUUGAUUUCUCCUAAACCUCAUAUUGAAGGAUUGUUCGUAAAGCUUAACUCAACUGGCCAUACCAAAAUUGUUAGGCUUGACACCUUCUCCCGGGUUCGAACCCGGGACCUCGCAGUUGUGUCUGAGUUUCAGUAGUGCUUAUCACUUUGUAUACAGACAAAAAAAUGCAUCUAGGUUGUUUUUUGAAAUUAUUUUCUUGGUAAAAUAAUUAUCUGAAAAUAAAAAUUAUUUGUGAAAUACGCUGUUGUAAAUGGUGUCGAUAUUCAUUCACUAAAGAUAUAUGAAAUUAGUUUAUCUUAUCAGCUAGACGUAUCAUAUCCUUGACCGAAUAAAAUGCAGAUUUGUUAAAUCCGAUAAAUCAUAUUUCAUUGCUGCAUUUACUGACCUUAAGUUGAAAAUUAUGCCCUCCCCCCACACACAACAGACUAUCCCAAAUGACGCGCACACAGUCACUAUGCAAAAAUAACAGUCAGAAGCAGUGUCAAAUAUUGGCCAUGGCGGAAUGCGAUGGAGGAUUUUUUUUCUCAAACAGCUAUGGCCAAUUUGUGAAAGAUUGCAGGGCCGCAACACGAUGACGUUUUAUGACAGCUUAAAAUGGAGAAUUUUGGCUUUCUGCCAUGGUCUGCCAUCUGCAAUCGAUAACACUGCUCACAAGCAUAAAGAUGGAAGUUUUGCAUCACCAGAGGUAAACAGCUUUUUAUUGUUGUUACAGAGAGUUCAUGAAGGCAGGGAGCUUUCAUACAACAAAACUCACAAAGCGAUAGAGGGCUGCAAUGUGUUUUCCGCAGAGACCCAUCGAAAAUCUGACCUGGAUUUACUGUCCCAAGCCCUUAAAUGCAGUGUCUUGUAUGAACUGCGUUAUGAAAUCUGACGUAGUAAUGCUUCGUUCUCAGGAUCGAAAUGGAUCGACCAUCUCACGCUUCCAUGAGCUGGAAUGGCGAUCCUAUGACGAUCUUUUAACCAAGUCAACACUAGAAGGGGAGGAAUACUCAUAGGACCAUGUGAUCCUACUAUGUGUGAAGGCACAAUUGCAACAACAUUGUUUGACAUGUUAAUUACGCCUUUUGAUUCGUUGUUACGUGUUAAGGCACGAUUGUAACAACAUUGUUUGACAUGUUAAUUAUUCCUUUCGAUUCGUUUUGAUUGUGUCUGGAGUCUGGACUGGGAAAUUGGAUUGUUAACUAUGAUCUCUUUAAUUUUGGUGACUGUUAUUUUUGAGCAAUUAUAUAUCUUGUAUAAAUUAUAAAAAAUUUCCUUUUUCUUCUAUAUAUUGUCCGCCUUUCUCUUCAACAAUUCAUGCUCUCAGUUAAACUUUGCAGAAUUUCGUGAGAAAUUAUAAUGUGACCUAAUAUUUUAUGCAUUUAUUGGUAGAGUAGUUUCUCUUCUCUUGCAUAGUAUCUAAGAUUUGAGUUUGAAAGAUACAUCUUUCGUUAUAUAUACCACCGCCAUAUUUAAAUAAUUAUAACAUUUUAUUACAUCAUUUGGAUUGAAGGUUAUUGAUUGCCGAAUUUGUGGUGAUCCGCAUUCAGUUCUUCGUUUUGCUUUUGUCGAGUUUGCUGAUGAACGUAAGUUUUUGUCUUGCAAAUCUUACUCACUUCAGUCUUUUACAUCACCAAAAAACACGUGGGCGCGCACACACACAAACAAUUAUUUUUCAACCUAUUUCAUUAUUUUGAUCAUGGAAUUCAUGUCAACAGAUGGUGCAAGGGCAGCUUUAAACCUUGGUGGUACUGUGCUUGGAUACUAUCCAGUGAGGGUCCUUCCUUCAAAAACUGCUAUCCUUCCUGUGAAUCCUACAUUCCUCCCCAGGGUAUGAAUAUUUUCUGUUCCUUUCUAUACUUGGCUAUAUUUGGAUGGAACAUAAAAUCAAAAUAUUUUGGAAUUCAUAGUUUAAUCCUUUCGUAUAUUGAUUCUCUUAAUCUCUAGAGUAUUUACUGUUUUUUUUUUUGUAACAUGCAGUCGGAUGAUGAGCGGGAAAUGUGUACCAGGACUGUCUAUUGUACAAAUAUUGACAAAAAGGUACAUCGUAUAAUUUUUUUUUCUUCGGGAAUAUACUGUAACAAAUAUUUUUGGUAAAACUACUUUUAGUUUAGGAAUAAUUGUUGACCGCUCAAAUGGUUAAAAAGAUUCAAAGAUUGGUUAGUAAGUAGCACUUAUUGGAUCAAUUAGUCAUUUUAACAUGUUUACCAGAAUAGCAUAAUGCAUCCAUGAAUUAUCGGAGUUACAUGUAUGAUUAUCUGAGUUGAAUUUCUUUAUGAAUUGUUAAAUUUCUCUCAAAUAUCUCAAAAUGCAGAUUUCUCAAGCUGAAGUGAAAAACUUCUUUGAAUCAUCCUGUGGCGAGGUCAGACCUUAAUAAAAUAAUCAUUUCAUGCUAUCAGCUAAAAGUUAUUUAUCUCAAAAGGUAAAUCUUGGUUGACAUUGCAUUUCCAUUUCACAGGUUACGCGCUUGAGGCUUUUGGGGGACCAGGUGCAUUCAACUCGAAUUGCUUUUGUGGAAUUUGCAAUGGUAAGUCUUGAGUAUCUUAGUCAAUGCGCUAUUAAUUGGCUGCAAUGCACUUUCACAAUUUUUAAUAAUAACCGCACCAUAACUUUAACUUUGUUAUUUUUUCUGAAACUGUUAUUCCAUCAUGAUUUUCUUCCUUUCUUAAUUAUCUGUCUCGUAAGACCUAUGCAUCUCGAGGCACACUUUUGUUCCCGGUGGAUUGUUCUUGUAAAGGCACAGACAUAUUUAGUAUUAAUUAGUGUUGUCAAAUUGUGGUUGUAGCGCUAUAGCAUAGCAGAACAAACUGCUAUUGUUUUGCGAUUUGCAAUGUAGUACAAAGUGUUCUCAAAUAGCGGCUAUAGCACACCACAGUGUAGUGAAAUUCAAACAAACUGCUAUUCUCUGUGAUCCACGACUGACAACACUAGUAUUAAUAACUCUCAGAAAGUGUGUUUGCAACGAAUGGUCUUUUCCGAUUAUUUUCCUUAUUGACACGUAGUUGUUAAUUAAGUAGGGGCUCUGUAUUUUGCUGAUUCAAAAAAAAAAAAAAGUAGGGGCUCUGCAAAUCUUGAUGUCUGUCCUCAUCACGUGCAUGAAUCAUUGCAAAUCCAGUCAUUUAAAUAAGUGCAAAUUUAAGUGCGUGGAAUUAUAAAAAUUUGUCUCCUAUUUUGUAAUUUUUUUAAAGAAUUUAGUGAUAUAAUUUCUGAUUUGCUGCUACUGCCAUUAUUAUAUUAACUUUGCACAAGAGAAAUCGAUAUGUUGACUGGCCGUUUAUUUCUUCCUUCUUGAGCAGGCAGAAAGUGCCAUUGUUGCACUAAACUGUAGCGGCAUGCUUUUGGGAACUCAACCUAUCAGGUUUGGUACCAUUACCGGAGGAUGGUUUUUGUUAUAUGCUAGUUUCAAUUCAACAUGAAUUAUAAUUAAUUUGAUCAUAUUUUAUUAUCCUUCGGAUUCUGUAGGGUAAGUCCUUCAAAGACUCCAGUGAGGCCAAGGGUUGCUCGUCCUGUAUCGCGUUAACCGAUCGGACAUUGUCCAACCAUGACUUGAGAGGAUAUUUAGUCAACUUUCCAGUUGAGACUUGUAUGGAAGAGGCAGUGAAACUGCCUUUUGUUUCCGGUUAUUUUCAUCUUGUUAUGUCACAACUGUUGUUACUUUUUUGUUACCUGAGCCUUUAAAUGUUCUGCACUCUAACUUAACUUUCUAGGUACCCCCAGUCUUGGUCUUAAACUAUUUUACUAUGUCAACAUUUAAGUUAUUUAGUUUCAGUUACUUGGUUAUUUGGAGCUAACAUCAAUUAUGCUUUUCACCAGUUUGGAUAUUUAACACCAUUGCGAUCGAAUGUUGUGAUGUGACCCUGUUUAGAUAAACAUUUUAAUUAAGUGAUUAUCGUAUAAGUGCUUACGUAUAUGCUAUUUUUAUAACAAAAGAUAAAUUAAAGUGAAACUGUUUUCACAUAAGAUUAGAUAGGCUAUAACAUGUUUUUGGUCUUUUGGAGAGCUUAUAGAAGUAACCUGAAAACAAUUGAUGGACAUGUCAUAAGUUGUUUCACAAGUUCUCCCAAAUAGUUUCAUAAGUGUUUGUACUUGUCGAAAACACAAGUAAAUCCAAACAAAUGGAUUUGGAUUACUGAAGAUGCAAUACCAUGCAUUCAUUGUACUUAGUUAGUCAUAAUCGUUUGAUCAAUAUCAGACAAUUUGCUUUUGGAUUUGGCAAAUAAGGUGUGAAAGCACCUCGAAAUGUGAACCGUCUUAUAUUUAUCUAAUAGAUCAAUGUAGUCUGGUCUUCAUCUAGCAGUUGAUUAGUAACGAUAUUAGUGUAUAAUGUUUUGACAGUUGAGACUUGAGAGUCCAUUUUUGCAUAUAGUUUAGUGAAGAACUAUGAUUGAGUUGCCUCAAAUUGGAAAGUUAUGUAGGCACAAAUUUGAAAAUGAAAAAGAUAAUCAUAUUUUUAGAUAUUUGGUAGGAUUCCUACCUUAUUAAAGAUUAUUGUUAGGACGAAUAUUUGUACUCGUUUUUGAGAAUAAAUAAAGGGGGUUAACAUUUAUGGAGAGAUUUUAGUGGACCGACCAAUGAAAACACCACUAGUUAUAGAACUAUUGCAUUUUUGCUAAGUAUUUGAGCAAAAGAAUGGAUAAAGGAAAGGUCCCCCAUCUAAAGAAUCUGCAUAAAUAUUCGAACAUAACACCUUUUUAUCAAUUUUUAUUUUAUAAAGAUGUUAAGAAGCAUCAAUCCUUAUCCUUUUGUGAUAUCUAUCUAGGUAUGUGAUAUUCCUUAUGGCAGAGUUGUUCUUUUUUGCUUUGCAUUCUAGCUGGAAUUUAUUCUAAUCUUUCUAUAUGCUUCUUUUUUGAACGUUGGCAAAAUGAAAGAUAAAUGACAUACAUUAAUGUUUUUUUUUACCCUAAAUAUGAAACUAUGAUAUUUGCUUAACCUAUUGUGUAGAAAGAGUUGGAAAUAUGACUCAAAAAAAUAACCUAAAUACCCUGAAAGAAACUACCUAAGUCGUAGAGACAUUCUAAGGCCUCUACCAGAGGUCAAACACCCUAAUUACGGUGAAUAUGCAAAAACUAAAAUAAUUAUUACAUUGAUUGGUAUUUUAACUUCCGCAAACGAAUAUGUUUUACGUAGGUUGAUGAGUUAGAGGUGGUUGUUAUGAAUUGUUUUAGAAAAAAAAUCAUUUUCUUUUAAAUAAUAACUUAUGAGAGUAUUGCAUUCAUUUGUUACAUUUUUUCAAAAAGAAAAUUAGAAUCUAAUAAAAAAACCUAAAAUCUGCUUCAAAUAAAAAGCUGAAAAAAAUAGCUUUUCAAAUUAUUUUUUUUAGAAGAUGAAGAAAAUAAGUAUAAAAAAAUUGAGCUAAUUUUGUAACAAAAAUUUCAUUUUUGUAUAGUUGUAUGAUUUAUAUCUAAAUAAACCACUUUUUUUAAAAAAAAAUAUUUAUUACAAUAAAGAAACACAAAAAAUUCAACUUAUAAUCUCUAAAAAAUAAUUUUUAAAUUAUUGAAUGUCAAAUUAAUUUUUUUUUAUCCAUAACUUCUUGUGAAGUGUUUCCACAUUCUAUGACGGUAACAUAUGCACACAGUUGCAGAACAAACACAUACAUUCAUUUCAAAUGAUGUAAAAUGUCCUUUUUAGGAAUUAUCUAACUACCUUCUGCUUCUUAAGACACUUACCUAUUAGAGUUGGGUACUACUUUGUCCAUGUCACAUUUGAUUACUUGUAUUCAGAAAUGCUGAAUGUUACGUAUGCAAUUCCUACAAAAGCAAUGCAGUGAACUAUUUUAAAUUUGCUAGUACCUUUUUUUCCAUCAUUCCUUUUCUAUUUUACACAUUAUUCCAACUUUUCCGUUCUUUAAUGGCAUACAACACUCGUUCCUUAAGAUCUCUUAAGUCAUGAUGACAAUCUUUCAUAUAGUAGUUUUAACAUAUUGAUGGAUGCGCAAAGGAGAACAAAAUGAAGAACAAGACCUUGAAACAAUCCAAAUCAGACAACAUUCUGGUCGCGCUAUACUUUUUACAAGAGUAUCAAUGUGAUUUUUUCGGGUAUAGUCAUUAUAGAAGUUUUGGUGAGGCAAAAUGAGACAAGGAAUGGAGAUUGUAGUGAGUCAACAAUUGGAAGAAGCACGGGUGUUUAAAUAGUGUUUAAACGUGAGUUCAUGACAAGUUAAAAAGUAAGAUUUUAAUGGGUUCAACAAAUAAACGAGUCAAUGUAUAUGUUUCCCCGUUGUUUGCAGAUAUUGUGAAAAUUAAUAGCAUCGGAAGUUAUCUUCGAAUACCUAAACAAGGGACUAUUUCUGUGUGUUUUUAUUGCAUAAAAUUGUAAGUUCAAAGUUUUCCUGCCUAAUAUUGAACUUGAAGUUCAAAGUUUUCAAACAGAAGUGAGGUGCAAGGAAACAUAAAAUGCUAAAUAUUAAGUGUAUGGAAAGUAAAUGGCUUGAAAAUAAAUGUGCAAAUAUAAUAAAGGGUAGAAAUUAAAGGUGUAACAAAAUUAAAUUGCAGAAAAAGUAAAUGUACAAAACUUCAAAGUGUAGGAAACAUAAAAGACUUGAAAUUUAAAUUCAAACAAAGAAAAGAAAAAAAUGACAUUCUUAAUCAUGUACAUAUAAUAUACGAUUUUAAUGUGUUAAUGCGAUUUCUCAAUGCAUUAAAGCAACCUUUAUUACGGGGCCCAUAUAUCCAUAUUUAUAUGAAAAUAUGAUAAUUUACAUUGACGUGCAUGUUUGCCAAGUGUUAUAGGCAGGAUCGUUCCUAUGAAAUUGGAGACCCGUCUCUAACAUUAUAAAUAGGUAGAUAAUAAAAUAAAAAUAUAAUUUUUUAAAAGAGAAAUCCUCUAUUCAAACUAAAAAUAAGAUCCGUAAAAAUAGGAAAUGAUCAUCAUUGUAACUAACACGGAGAGGAUCAAUAUUGUAAUCAAUAAAAUUAACAUAAUUUUAAUCGAAUAUCUUUAUCAACUUUCUACGUUGUUAUUUUCUUUAGUUUAUACGGAGGAAAAAAAAUAAAGUUUAUAUCCUAGAGAAUGAUUAUAAUGUUCAUUAUUAAAACUUUGUUAUUUGAUACAAUAAGUAUGGGCAAAAAACUAGAAGCAGUGCUCUAACAAAAAGAGGAAAAACAAAGUUAUAUUGUGUUUUUAUUUCUAAAAAAGGAAACUGGUGUUGAGCCAAGGACCCAAGGCAUGCCAAAGCGAACUUAAACCAAUGCGCCAUAUCUAAGAAAUUGAAAAUAUUUUACACCCUAAAAUUUUGAAGGCCCAGUUUUGUAAAGUUUUUUGCACCCACUCAUGACCGAGCUUGGUCAUAGGCUAAUAACCAUCUUCGACACUGUAUAAUUAUGUAUGACUGUUUUUGUUUCGACGUGUGUGACUCUGAAUUAUAACUGUUGUCGAUAAUUUCGUUUGGUGUGUAAGGCUACUUUUUAUUUAUGUGUGAAGUACACAAUCUUUGUCUUUAUUUAUUGCCCCUUUAAAUUUUUUUGCAGCAACACCAAUAUACCUUUUAGGUUAAUACCUUAAUAUUUUGGAAAAAGAAGUGAUAUUAAAUUCUCUCUGUAUCUUGCUCUUAACUUAAUGUGAUGAUAUUUCGGACUCUUCAAGACGAAACAUCAAGCUCGUUAACCACAACCAUGAUCCAUGUGAGUCUAGCAUCUUGAUUAUGAUUAAGUAAAGCAUAUGCUUCAUGGUAGAAGACUUUACGAUCCAACAUCUUCACUUGUGGCCAUUUUUCUUGAAAACACUUGCAGCAUAUACAAAAUAGUUUUAUCUUUUUUUUUUUAAGAACAAAAUAGUCUUCUUUAUCAAGUUAAAAAUUCUUACAUUCGAACUGUACUGCGCCUUUUAAUAAAGGGUGAGUUAUAUUAUUUCCCUUGCUUCUUAAUUAAUUAACUAACUAACAUGUAUUGACAAUUUGACUAAACCAUUUGUGUCAAACAAAGAAAUUGUCCCAACUAGUAUGUCACCUAGCUGUCGUAUGCAUGUCUUCUAGUGUGUUCUAUUUUAAGAAAGAGUAUUUGUUUGUUAUAUAGGCUUCUAUCAUAAAAGCUCUACAGAAUGAUUAAAAUAACUAAUAUAAGUUGAUGUAAUUGGUUCAAUUUUCUAAAAAAAGAAGAAGAUGUAAUUGGUUAAAACAAAAUUUAAAUUAGAUACAUCAAAUUUUUUUAGAUUAAUUUUUAUCAUUUAUUAAUAUUGUUCUCCUUCUCUCUUGUGAGUCAUCGUCAAAACCCUAGUUUCUUCUCAUUCAUCCAUCAAAUUUUGACCCAAAAUCACUCCUCUAACUCGUUUUUUCUAUUUCCCUUUUAUUGAAAUAAGUGAUUUUCACACCUAUUUCGCUUUUUCUUUCGUGAUUUUGUCGUCUUAGUGUGACGUUGUUUUGUUUGUCGUCGUUGUACGACGUUGUUUGUCCUUCUGGUUUCGUUCAAGGAUUUGUUCGAUUCAGAUUGUCAGAUCAACUUCGAUCCAGUGCAGAUCAAAUCAAUGACUUUGGAGUCGUCAACGUUGAAGAUCCGGAGACAUGAGUAUUCCGGAGACUUAAAUAUAUAGUCAUAUGGCUAGACUUUAGUACUUUGCCGUUUUAUACUAUUAACAUGGAUGCUGUGAUAGUUUGUUUACAGAUUAAUCCUUUUUAUUUUUAGCGAAUUUUCAUUGUAACGAUGGAUUUGAAUGACCAAAAAAAAUUUAUUUAUUAAUAUUUUUGCGAAUAGUUAGACUUUCUAUGAGACUAAUCAUCUAGAUCAUCGUCCUUGUGAGUUUAGCUCAGUUGAUAUGGACAAUGCAUAAUAUAUGCAAGGUCCGUGGUUCAAACCCCGACCAAAAAAGAAAAUCAUCUCCAACAUCCAUAUUUUAAUUAGGGAGUUGGACUUCCUCUCAAAUAGUUGAAUCAACUCCGGUUUCUUUUUCCUCGUGUUACAAUUCUUCCAACACCAAAGUGAUUAGACUAUGUGGAAGGGCAUAUUUUAAAUUACAUAACGGUUGCAAUCUCAUAUACUAUUGUUGAAUUAAUUUAUUCAUCAAUGACCAAAAAUAUGGCAUAUGCACUUUACAUGAUUCAAACUAGUGGUCUUAAAAUAAGACAAUAAAGUGCAAGUGAAGAUUUAGACUGGAUCGUUUCAUCUGCUUUAGUCUACGAAUAUAUCAUUUUUAUAUUUUAGUUCCUCUAAUUUUUUUUCUUUCUCCAAACAAUGGUGACACAAAUAUUUUUCAUUAGUAAAUUUGGUCAUCGAUGUUGAAGACUGCACAACCGGUAUUUAUAGAAGCAUUUAAAAGAAAAAUGAUGGACAUAAAACUUAUGUUAGAAUAAGUUUUGGUAGCUAUAAAUAUAUAAUCUUUUAUCUACUAAAAAUUUGUAUAAUCUUUCAUUUUCAGUCCUUCGUACAAUGUCACGUUAAUUUAUUUUAAAACCUAGGAUAGAAUUUGCUCUACAAAAAACUAGGAUUAAAUUUUUCGACGAAAAACAGUGGAAGACUAUUAUUUAAAGAAAACAUUUAAAAAUAUUAAAAUGAAAAAUGAUAUAUUUAUAGCGUUAACAACUUAUCUAACUCUUCAUUUAUAAUUGAAGAGUCCAACUACGAAUUAUAUUUCAUUCUUAAUUUUAAUGCAGCUAUCUACCGUAAAAAUCUUGGCAUUCAACGUACAGUUUUCUUCUUCAAUUCAUUCAAGGAUAUGGAGUUUUCUUCGCACUGAAUAAAUCAAAUAAAAAUAAUAAUUGCAUUGCUGUUGAGACUCAAAAUAUAAUUAUAGAUUCUGAUGAUUUGCUGCCGGACAUAAACAAAUGUCUUUAGAGCACUUGUUAAUGAUUUAAAAGAGGAAAUAAUUUAUAAAUUUUAUAUAGAAAAAAAAUUAAUUUUUAAUGUUUCAAUAUGUUAAAUACAUAUUUUCUAAAAGAAGAUUCUUCUUUGGACUUCUAAACAAAUGCUGCAAGGUAAUUUGUUAAUAUUUCCCUUAUUUUUUAUAUUAAUUUUUUUAACAAAAUUCCUGCCGCUUUGCAUCCAAAUAAUAUUUUUCGUUGAAUUAGGUAACAAAGUAGAUCCUAAACUAUUUCAAAGGAUAAACAAAUAUUGGAUGUGAGACACAUCUACUGACCCAACCCUUCAUUAUAACCAACAAGAAAUUCCGGCAAAGAUAUUAGUGGUCACUGGAUCGAAAUCGAACGGUUUAAAUUUUAAAAUCAUUUUUUUUUUCUUUCUGACAAAUCAAAUAUGAAUCAAAAUUUGGAGCGUUCUGAUUUCAAAUGGUCACUUAGAAUAUCCUUAAUUACCUACUUGAAUGCAUGGUUUGCAGCAGCAUAAAAUUUAAAAGAAUUCUAACGACUUCACUUAAACGUACUUAAAAUACGUUUAUAUUAAAAUGUUUUGUAAUUAUUGCAUUCGCAAAAGUAACGGUGUAUUUCCAAGACAAAAUUUUGUAUAAUAGAAUCCAUAAAAAAUGUUAUUAGGGCAUUCAUUAUCAAGACCCAAAAUUGAAAUCGAAAUACAAUAUCCCUAGCCAUAAAGAACCAGGAAGGUAUUGAGUGUGUCCCUGUCCCAAAUGUCCUGGCAAAUUGCUUAAAUUGACAAAUACUCUCUUAACAACUACAAUUGAAAUCUUCUAGUCCCAUACAAAAAAAUGGUAACUUUCCUCUAAUUUCCAUAAACAAUAACGGUCAAUUUUUGUGUUCUAGAAUAGAUAUCUCUGACCUUUGUCACUAGUCAAAUCUACCCCACCCAUAUAUUAAUAUAAAUUCAAAUAUAUAAAUAUAAAAGAUUAGAAAAGGCCAACACAUGAAACACAAUAAAUACACAAAUCCACUAGAAUACCAAUACAUAGCCAAAUUACAACUUUUCUUCCUAUAUACCCAAUUAAGCCAUUCUAGACAAAAAUCACCUUUUUCUUCUGUUCUUAUAUAGAAAUAAUUUUCUUCCUAUGUCAAGUGGUGGAUGUAGUAGGAACCCUGUGAAGAUUGUGAUCAUCAACACACAAUAUGUAGAAACUGAUGCUACAAGUUUCAAAUCUGUUGUCCAGAAACUGACUGGUAAAGAUUCUGAUGCAGAAGGUGAAAAGGUUCAGAGGAAGAAGAAUAAUCAAAGUGAUGUGUCAUUUAAGGAGUUUGAUAUGCUUCUUAAUGAGAUGCCACUUAUAAAUGACUUUUGGUCUGAUACCAUGAUUAAUUGAAACUAACUUAAUUAAUUUUCAUUAUUGUAUAAUAAUAUGUUUGUAUUUGAUUAUUUGAUUUGAUAUAUACACUUCAUUUUCAAUGUAUUUUUCUUUUACCCGUAUGUUACAAUACAUUCACGUGUGUUGUUGCUUCUUUACUGUUUUUUUAACACAUUAUUGCUAUAUUGAUUAGCACUAUUGGUUAUUUUGUAUAUCAGUUUUGCUAAUUAAUAUAAUUAUAGUUUAGGUAAUGGAUUUUUUAUAUGUGAUGACAAUUUUAGUUUUUGAGUUAGCAAAUUUACAUAAUGACAAUUUAUAUAAGAGGGGGUAUAUAAUGAUUAAGAUUAUUGGAGAGGAAAGGUGACAUGUUGGUUUGAGGGGAAAGACAUAUGACAUACCCAUUGUUGGAGUGAUAAGAAUGUUAGAAGAGAUGAGAGAACUUUGAAGAUAAAAGGAGGAGAAAAGGGAAAGAGAAAAUAGAGUAGUUGUGUCAAAUGCAUCUACAUGUCCUUUAAGUUUUUUGUUUUUUCUAAAGUGUUCCUUUAAGUUUCAAAAGUCUCAAACAAGUCCUUUAAAUUUCAAAAGUCUCAAACAAAUCCUUUUAGUUUUUGAAUCGUUUCAAACAAAUCCUUUUAGAGGAUGAUGGUGAUGAUUCAGAUGAUAGCAACAAAGAGCAUUAUCCACCAUUUGUCAUGCCUAAAAAGAUGACUAAUUUUAAAUGGAUCUUAGGAGUCAGAUUUGGUACCAAAGAUGAGUUCAAGGAAGCAAUUAUCAACUAUGCUAUCGACAAUAGGACUUGUUUGAAACAAUUCAAAAACUAAAAGGAUUUGUUUGGGCCUUUUGAAAUUUAAAGGACCACUUUGAAAAAAACGAAAAACUUAAAGGAUCUUUAUAUGCAUUUGACCAAAAAAGAAAGUAGAUUAGUUUACUCAGAACACUUCAAUUUAGAGGAACUCAAAUAUUGAAGAUAUAAUUAGCUAAUAAUUAUGACUAUUUUUUUUAGGGGGAUAUAAUUAUGAGUAACGAGGUAUUCAACCGGUACGUUACACAAGUUUGAUUAUAAUACUUACUUACAAUAUUUUUAUAAAUGAUAAAAUAAACAUUGUCAUAAGUAUAAUCACAUACAAUUCAAUGAUUGAUAAAAUUUCUAAGCGUUAAUAUUAAUUUAUAUUAAAGCAGGAGUGUUUUUUAAUGAAAAGCAGGAGUGUUGUUAAAAAUUAAAAUAGAAUAAGAACAUUUAAUAUAGAUUGUGGCAGAUCCUAUAAUAGUUUCUAAGUUUGAAGACUCCCAAUUAUAUUUUAUAUAAUAGUGCAAUAGUAUAAGAACAUUUAUUUUUUGGGAUCACAAUGGUCCAAUAAUAGGCUGCUUUAUUUUUUACUUUGAUAUCUCUUAUUCUUUUCCAUCAAAGAUAUAGACGUUGAUGUUUGUUAUCAAUAUUGCUUUUAAGAGAUAUGUCUUUUUUCAUCUUUUGAUUAACUUGUGAAAAUAAAAGCCUAUUCUUUUCUCCUAACUUUCAUAAAAAAUUAUCGUAUCCUUAUUAGAAGAAAAUAAUAGAAGUAUGAAAGUAAAUAAUAAAGAAAGUUAGAAACGUAAACCAACAAACAUUGUAUCAAUAAAAGAAAAGCAUGUAUAUAAUAUUUAGUUAAUCUUAGAGUAACUUGAGUCUCUAUUAUGUCAUAUAAAUCAAUGAAUAAUCAAAAGAUGGAGAGUAAAAAAGAUAGGGAAAACUACAAUACAAAAUUGAAGAGGUACCACUUAAGAGUUGCUUUGAGAAAAUGUUGGAAAAACCCUAAAUUUGUACAUCAAUCAUUUAGCACUUAUGUACAAAAUUACAUAUACACAAUGGUCUUCAGAUGAAAAAAAUUGUAAAUCCUCUUUACGGAAUAAAAUAAAAUACAAAGAAAGUUGGAGAUGUAGACUAAGAAACUUGAUAUCAAAUAAAAAAAAGUAGUGCUCAAAUAUUUGACCAAUCUAAGAGUAACUUGAGUGGAGACUAAUUUUGAUACCUAGGUUUGAAGUGGAGACUAAAAUUUUGUGAAACUUGACAAAAAAAUUUACCCCGCAUUUGCAGCGAGAAACUUAGGUUGGAGAUUAUAAAUGUCAGAAAAUGAAAACGGAGAUAGAAAUGUGGAAGAUAUUUAAAAAAUAUUUCUUGCAAAUGGUAGGAUAUAGUGAGGGAAAACAUGAAAAAUUUGGUGAAUGAGUUCAUCCGUAACAAAUGGUGAAUAUAUAAUUUUUUAUAUGAAAAAAGUGAACUGAAGAGCAAACAAUAACAAAUGUAAGAGUAAUGAUACAUGUACCAUCAUAUGUGGCAAUAUACCCUUUACACUCUUUACAUUUGUAAUUGUGUUUAUUAUUCACAAAAAUGUAACUGAUAAAUUAUAAUAAAAUAUUGAACUUAUAGUCUAAUAAAGUAAUAAGAAUGUAACCGAUAAUGAGUAGAUAUUGUAUUAAUAAUGCAAUACACUGGCCUAGGUAGUCUUGUACCAACAUCAAUCUCAUUUGAUCUGAGUAAAUAUAAAAUUGAGACGGUUUUAAAAUUCACUUGUUCCGUUAGUAAUAACAACAAUCUAAUUAAAAGACACAUUUUACUUCCUUCCAAAUGCUCGAUGCGGUACGAUGGAGGAUGCAAAACACUUAUUCCUUUCUUGUGAUUUUUUUGGUAAACUUUGGUACGGUAUUUCUCAUUGGCUUAGUUACCACAUAGUGUUUCCUGAACAUGUGCCAGACCAUUUAUAUCAAUUUGGCAUCUUAGGAGGCUUCUCAAAAAACAACCGCUCCGCUUUUCAUCUUAUAUGGUUAUUUUGUGUGUGAGUGAUUUGGCUUGAAAGGAAUGCUCGGGUUUUUCACCAAACAAAAGCUUCGAUUAAUCAAUUGACAGAUAAACGUCCUAGUUUUGUUUUCUCCUAUCAUUCUUGGUGGUUAAAUCUUUUAAAUUGCUUGGGAAUUAUUAUGUAACAGGGUAGCUAUCUUUUUUGGGUUUUCCCGUUUUUGUUUCCCAUUUGUUUUUGAUUGUAUUUGAUACUCUUUCAGUUGGGUUUUCAACACUCUUUGUACUGAAAUCUCCAGACUUUCAAUAAUAUAUUUCAUUUUAACUUCUUAAAAAAAAUUCUAAUAAUAUAACUUUAGAAAGUAUUAUUACUAUUAUUUUUUAUUUUUUGAGAGUCGAAAGCAAUAUAUUAUGCAACAUGCAUUAAGUGAAGUUAAUGAAGGGUUUGAAACAUUAUCACUAUUUUUGUUUAGGAGUUAGUAUAUAAUUAGAUUUUAAAUUCAUAUUGGGGAGGUUUUGUAACUCAUGAAUUUGAAAGAAUUAGAAUUUAAAGUGUGAAAUUUCUUAGGAAGAGUAAGGAGAUUUUUUAGAGGUGCCACAUAAGCACAAUUCUAACAUUAAAAUGAGUCAAAUUUAGAAUUGAGAAGCUUUUCUAGAUGUGCCAAGUAUUAGAAUGAAGCAAGUUUCAAAUUCAAAUAUAUAUAUAUAUAUAUAUAUAUAUAUAUAGAUAGGUAGAUUGUUACCGGUUUGUGGAUUCCUAUUAAUACACAUUAUUAUUUCUCAUCUUAUGUUUAAAUAUACACUCUUAUCCACCUUUUAUUUAAAGGGAAAUGUUAACUAAUGCAUCCGGAGCACUACUUAAGAAAUUUAAAAAGGAAAUAUUUUCUAGGAAAUUGUGUAUUUUACUUUUUAAAAUUUAAAAAAGUGUUCAUUUCAAUGCUGACACUGUUUUUUCUUUCUAGGGGUACUGAUUAACAUGAUCCUUCUUUAAAUCAUAUUAAAAAAAUCCACACUCUCAUUGAUAAAGCUUGAAUUGCUUUACACUCCCUUUCAUAUUAAAAUAUACUUUUUGUUUUUAUCAAGUAGUCUAAUGAUUAUAAUUUUUUUUUGGUAGAUAAACGAAAUGACAAAGUCAUUGUAAACUCACACACAUAAGUGAAGGUACCGGGAUUCGAACCCCAAUUAUGAUAUCCAACCUAAUAAUUUCGACAUUUUUCCAGUUGAGCUAGGACUUCUGGAUUAAUGAUUAUAAUUUUACCUCAUAAAAUAAAUAAGUGGAGAAUUAUAUUCUGGGUCUAUUAUAACAAUUUAACACACAAGUGUGAAGGAAAAUGAUGUUGUAGGUCCAUUUUAAUGUAAUCAAUAUUUAAAUACAUAUUUUUUUCUAUAUUUUUAGUUCACAAUAUCAUUACCAUAUAAUUUUAAAUACUUUUAUAAAAUAUGUAGCAACAAAAAAUAAAACAAUAAAAUAUGGCUAUUUAAAAAUGAACUUAUAUUCUAAAAUUCAAACUUAAUAAUAAAUUUUAAUGUAAUCUUUUAUAUUAUUUUUCUCUGUAAUAGGUUUCAGGUAAAUAGCUUUAGGCACGCCUCUAAGAUAGGAACCCAAAGGUAGAUGGAUGGUAAAGGUUCCAAUGCCAAAUCCUAAGAGAUGAGUAAUGUGGUUGAGUGUUUGUUGGGUGAUGAUUAUUCCUGCGUAGAUUGUUGAUUAGAGAGGAUAAUUGAUAACUUGGCUAGAGAUUACUGCUUAUCUAUCGAACCAGGGGCUACUGCUUAUCUAUGGAAAAAUUAAUUUAAAACUUCAAUAUUAGAGAGUUGUCUUUUGCAAAAAGUCAUGACAUCAACUACAUAAAGAGUGUGAGAGGGGAAAGACACUUUUCUAGUUCCCUUGAUGAUAACAAGCUUGCCUGCUUCAACUAGUUUUUCAUUCCUCCUUCUUGAUGAUGUCUACCAUUAAUAGAAAUAAAAGAAUUUAAAAUAGUUUCAACUAAUGGCAAAACUUGGUGUUGAAGCUAAAUUUUUGAAAACCCUAAGCAAGAAACUCCAUUCCGGGGUCAAAUGCUUUGGCUAUAUCAAGUUUUAAUGCUAGAUUACCUGCAAAAGAUUUAUUAUGUAGCAAGAUAACUGCUUAUGAGGUUAGAAAAUUACAAUCUUUGACUUGUCUUACAUGAAUGAAACGUCUUUGAACAUAAGAGAUAACAUAUUCCGCGUAAGCAUUAACUUAGUACUGGAUACAUUAAAAUUACAACAAAAUUCCGACCGAAUGAAUAUAAACAUCAAUGCAAAUUCGUACAUCUGAUAGCUUGAUACAUCUUCAAAUACAUAUAUUUGAAAUCAUAAGAGUUCAUCUAAACUAGUACGACAUGCAUAUGAUGAUAAGUCAUUCAACCUUUUGUAUUGUCUUCCCUUGCCAAGAACAACCUACUGAUUUGAAAUAAAAUAAAAGGGAUUGAGACGGGAUAUCUCAGUGAGUUCCACCUAUUUUAGGUUGUAGGCAAUCUCAGGGAACCUAUGAUCGCCAUCUGUUUGUACAUAUACCUAAUUAUAGAUUUAUUGUUCUUUUCUGUAUAACUUAACGGGGGAAAAUAUAGGAUCACUAAUUGUAUUCUAUCAUGAGUCUUGUCAUAAUCUUAACCAUAUUUCAUUCUCUAUCAACAAUUUGUUCUUCGAGUGUGACUUUUUUUUGGUAAUAUCUGGUCUGCUUUUCUUAUGUGGUUGAAUAUUUCUUGUCAUUUACUAAAUAAACCUUUUGUGCAUGCUCUUCGACCUCGAGGUUCUCAUUUGCUCCAUAAAGAGAUUAGUCAUUGCUUGCAGUUUAUUUGGUUGGCGUGUAGCUUGGUUUAUUUGGAAAGAAAAAACUAUCGUAUCUAUGGAGAAAAGAUAUUGUCUAGGAUGCAAGAUGCAAUUGAUAUACAAAAUAAAAAAUCUUGUUUGGUGGUCGCAAAACACCAAGAAGGUGGAUUUUACUUUUGAUUUUAAUUUGUGGUGGAUUAACCCACUAAAUUGUCUUGGUUAUUCCAAGAUCUGGUUUAGUUCGUGGUGCGUCAAGUUUGUAUUAUAAACUUUCAUAAUUUUUUUCAUUCUUGACACAUCUUGUACUUGAUCAAAUUUUUAAUAUAUUAUUUAUUUGGUUUCUUCAAAGAAAACAAAUCAUCUGAGUUUUAUCGUAAGAAAUCAUAUAUUUUUAAAAAGUGAGAUAAUUAAUAUUCAUUUUCUGACACCAAUAUAGAAAUAAUGUAGGAGGGGGUGUAAAUGUAAUAAAUUGGACUGUGUUUGUGGUCACUUGGAGGGAUUGUUGAACAUUAGUUUGGGGUUUUAUAGUGGUAUAGAUGUUUUUGUAUAACAAAAAAAAAAAUAUAUCAAUGUGAAUAUAAGUGUUUUUUUUUUGAGAAACUGUGAAAGAGCAACCUACUUUUGUCUCCCCCCUUGAAUAAAAUUCUAUUUUAUUGAUUUCUGAAGUCAAAUUUAGUGACUCAUCUUUUUGGAUUUUUGCCUUUCAAGAACUUCCCAUUAAUUAGUGAUGCAUCUCUAAAUGCCUACCUCAUGCCAAACAGGGUAAACAUGGUACGAUCCCUUAAUUAGGCUAUCACAAGAAUAAGUAAAUAAGAGAUUCCUUCUUUCCAAUGUGGUAUUAUAUUACAACUUUUACAUUAACAUCAAACUUAAUGGAAUCUUUGGUUUAGGGAAAAACACAAAAGUACGCGGUCCAAUAAAUUAAAAUUAUGCAUAUACCUACAAAUUAGUUGUCUUAUUAUAGUGGUAUUAUUUGUUCCCCUAAAAUCAAAAGUUGUAUUAUUUGUUACUUUAAAAUAUCAAUAAAAGGUUAAUUACAUUUCCUCAAAAAAAGAUAUUAAUUAUAUUUUUCAAACAUUAUUUACUACAUCUCAAUAUAUUUAAGUAUUCAAUUCAGACGUGGAAAAACAAGCAAAGAACAUUGUAAUUGACUUUAAGUCGUUAAUGAACUUCUUCAAAUGGCGAAUUGUUCAGGAGAGGCUCAGUUUGAUUUUUAUGUAGAACAGUUCUUGUUCUGGACCGGCCAGAAGACCAACUGCACGUUGACACGUGGAAUAAAAUACACCGUCUUAAGGCUCCGCACUCAAAAGAGCACGCCAGCUUGCGUGCACCGUGCCACACGGGAGCGCGCUCUCGCGCUAGGAUCACCCUACACGUGUCCUGCUCCGUCCCUAAUCAUACGCCACAUGUAAUAGCCCGUUUUUAGAUAGAAUUAUUUUAUUUAUUAUUUGUGUUUAUAUGUUCUUAAUUGUCUUUGUGUGUAUUUAAUUUGGGAUUAGUGGAUUUUUGGUCUAGAAAGGUGUUUUAGUGAUUUUGGCGGCCAGGGAUAAUUUGGUCAUUUGACGAGUAAGGGUAAAUUAGUAAUUUCAUUUGAGUAAUUUUUAGCAUUUUUGUGAGAAUAGUUAUUUUUACUAAGUUACUAGUGAGUUGGGGUAAUUAUUUAGAGAUAGUAAUUAUUUGAUGUUUUAACGGAUUAAUGAGUAGUAACUUUUUUGAAUUUGUUAGUAAGAGUUUUAGGCUCAUUGUGAAUAUUAGAAACAUAGCCCAAUGGAGAAUGGUAUAUACUAUAUAUACUUAACUCAUGAAGGAAAAUUAGGGUUAGAACAUUUCAUCUCAUAAAAAGGGAGGCUAGAGAGAGAAAGUGGGAAGAAUAGAGAGAAGAAGAGAAGAGGAAGAACUUACACUACAAGAAAUAUGUUAAUUAGCCAAACGCAGAAAGCCUUGGUAAAUGGACGUUUGUAGAAGUUUUGCCGGGAGAACAAUCCCCAACAAUUCAGGUCAUCGGAAAUGACCAUGUCAGGGCUUUAGCUCCUGGCAAAUUGUGUGGGGUACAUUCCCUGGCAACUUUUCUGACGCAUGCAGACUGUCCUGACCCACUUUUCAGACUGUCUUCCACAACUUUUCAUAGAUCAAAUCAAACACUGACAGGAGAUUUGCGAGGGGUUAACCCCUGACAAAAUGCGUACAAUUUAAAAAUAAAAAUAAAAGUAGUUAAAUUGUUUAAAAAAUCAAAAUUUAAUAAUUAAAAUAAUUUUAAAAAACAUUUAAUUUUUUUUUGAAAAAUAAUUAAAUUUAAUUAUUAAAAUAAUUUUAAUAAACAUUUUUAAAUUGUUUUUUUUUAUUUCUUUGUUUUAAAAUUGUUUUAAUAAUAAAAUUCAUUUAAAUUAUUUUUAAAAAACGUUUUUAAAUUUUUUUUUUUAAUUUAAUUGUUUUAGAAAAAGUAGUUAACAAUGCAAAUUAAAGUAAUAGUUCACAUAAUACAAGCACAUUUAAUACACGGAUAAAUUUGCAAAUUAAACAUCACUUUGAUCAAAAACAACUUAACAUAAUAUUCUUUAAAAAUUAAACACAAGCUUUCUAAUUCAUAAAUUACUAAAAUCAUCUGAAUUUGGCAUAUUUAAAAUCAUCAAUCAAACAAACACAACACGCUUAAUUUGAUGGCUUCUUCAAAAAUCAGAAAAUAACAAAUGCUUUAGUGUACUUUAGUUUCAUAAAAAAGUUAAUUCAUUAAUUCAUUUCAUAAAAAAGUUCACUUUAAAAUCAGAAAAAUCUGUGACAUUGAGCCACUGUGGUGCAUCAAACAUUACAUAGAUUAAGCAGGUAACAUUCGAAGACUCAGGUUGAUAACAGAAAUAAAAUUAAAUUAUAGCAAACAAUUUAACAAUACAUGACCAAACCAGUAAGGUUACUCAAACAAAACAACCCACAGAACAAGUUUCGUAUUAAGAUUAAAUUGGAAAUUCAAAGAAAUAAAAUUGUCCUAACACUACCAUUGCAUGGUAUAGAAAGUAUCUGAACAUGAUAUCAUUGUAGAUUUGUAGUAUAGUAUUUAGUUCUAAUUUCCACCUGUUAUAUGAACACAAAUCAAGCAGCUCUUUCAUUUGAAAAUCACUAGUGAAUCAAGUUGUCUGGUCUAACCACAAAUUAAUAACGCAUAAACACACCUUUAGAGCACCAAAUAGUAGCAGCAAAUACCAUCAAAAAAACCUAGUAGCCAUGCUAAGUUUAAAAUUGAAAUUAACCACAUGUUGUAUUGUUUAAUUUGAAUCGCUUAACUUGAAUGGUAAAUUAAGAUUCAACAUCGCAAUGCAUAAAAUCAAACAAAAGUAUCAGAAUCUUACGGAAAAUCCCGAAGCAGAUGAGUUAUUCCUUGUUAUAACCUUAACACAUGAAUAUCAUACUUCACGUAACUGAAUCAGAAGGAAAAAAAACACAAAUGUGAGGAUUCCAUUGAAAAUUGAAAAGAAAAAAAAAAAAUUAUAAAAGAAGAGAUUUAUAACCUUAAAAAAGAUUUACAGCCCCUCCAACUUCACUCACAAUAGUUGCAAUUGCACCAUUAGCCAACUUUCCAGUGUUGUCCUGUAACAGCAUUCAAUUCUAUAUAGAAUAAUCAUGAACAGUUUUUCUUAAAUUUAAUCUCUAAUAUCCAAGUAAGAUUGUAUGACCUCUCACACCCUUAACUAAUAAAGAAUUUGCAUGCUUUACUCCUAGAAAAAUCAAUAGUUGUGUUAUGUUAGAUCAUCAACCAGUAACAAAACAAAAGAUUAAAGAAAAUCCAAAUCAAAAACAAUCAAACAAAAUUCAACAAAAAUCAUAACAAGGCAUCAAGAACAUCAAAUAAAACUUAACAAAACUUAUGAUUAAAAUGAAUCAUAAACACAAAAACCUUGUGAGCAAACAAUCCAAACAACAUUCAACAAAAAUCGCAUGAAUCUCCUUUCUAUUUCAAAUAAUUUUUUUAUUCUUUAUAAACAAAUACGGCAAAACCCAAUUUCUCUGAUUCGUGCUUCAUAGUUAUUUUAUUGAGAAGGUUUACAGUUUGCAAAUCCACGAGAUACGUAUUCCUCUAGAUACACAAAUCCAAGAGUACAUGAAAGUGAAACACAACCCAUCAACUGGAGGAAAAAAGCAUCAAAGGCUAAUUUGAAACUUAAAAAGUCUUACCACAGAGCAAAAAAGCCACCAAAACUAACUAAUAGAAACACAUCCUAUAAAUAUCACUCAUAAAAAUAUACAUGUCAUUUGUAACACCCAUACUAAAUUGUCUAGAAUAUUUAGUAUGUGUAUUAAACAUUAGUACUGGAUACAUUAAAAUUUACAACAUAAACUUGUCCAAAUAAAUACAUUUCUAAUACAAGUUCGUACAUCCAAUAACAUACAGCAUCUGAAAAAUAUACAUCUAGUACAAAUCAUGUAUAUACAAAAAAAAAAUCAUCCGGCUUCCUUCUGUUGAUAUCUGGCAUGAACCUUUAUGCUUACGCACAACAUGCUUAUCUGAAAAUAAGAUAAAGGGAUUGGGGUGAGACAGGAUGUCUCAGUGAGUUCCACAUAUCCUAGGUUGUAGGCGAUCUCGGGGAAUCUAUGAUCACCAUCUGUCUCUACAUAUAUCUGAUUUUAGGAUUUACUGUGUUGUUCUGCAUAUCUUAGCGAUCGGGGGAAAUUCUAAGAUCACUAAUAGUAUACUGUCAUAAUUUCUAUCUUAAUUAUAUUCAUAUCAUAUUUCAUAAUUAAGUCAAAAAGUUAGCGUUGAACAAACAAUUAUUAUCUAAGUUCAUUUUACGGAAUGGAUCCGAGUGGAGUAACCCCGAAUACAUGAUCGCUAUGAUAAACCGGCUAAAUUCUUAUCUGAGGCUAGAGCCGGACUCCUCUUGUCGUCGUGCAGGUUCCCUUUCGGGCUGGACCUAUCCAGAAUAAUCUGGAGCUUUUCUGAGCCACAACUUAACUGAUUAUAAUUAUCUGAACAUAAUUUUAGUAACAUAUAUCUGAAAUGUCUCUGAUCAUAAGUGUAAGUAUAUCUGAUUCAUAACUGAGUUUAUUUUCUACAUUGUAUAACCUAUUUGUUCAGGUUCUGAUCAUGUGGUACUCAUAUAUCACUCCCAAGAUUAAACAGUCAUACAUAUAUAUCUGUAUAGUUCUGUGACAUAUAUCUUACAUGUCUCUGUAAUAAUUUCUGAUUAAUUCUCUAUUUGAUGCUUAAUAAUAAGCUAGUCAUAUUUAUAAAUUAAGUCUCACAUGAAUGUAUAUAAUGUUACUCGUUUGCUUAACUUGGUUUGCCUUAAAAAUAAUUGUUCGGGGUUAGGGGCAAGUCCGUACUCAUUUCACAAAAGGUUGGAACAAGUGAAUCGGGCUAAAAAGCAAAUUUUUAAGUUUUCAGCACUGUGUAAUCGAUUACAUAGGGGGUGUAAUCGAUUACACAUUACUUCUGCCGCUUCAGAAAUAAAUUUUAAAACAAUGUAUGGCAGAAUCCAGAAAGAACAGCUUCCAAAAGUGCUUUUCAAUUUUCUUUCCAAUUUCACAUGCCAACUUGCCUCUAGCCUAGAGGACUCAGAAAACAUAUUCAACAAGCAUGGCAAUCCAAAUUAAACAUCACAAGAACACUUAUACAUAACAGCUCUAAAACCACUCUUUCUCUAAGCAAACAGCAUGUACAAACAUUACCAUUUCAAUCCUUGCACCAAAAGUUUGUUUUUGCCCAUUUAAGCACUUCUGGUUCCUUCCAAAACAACUUAAUCACCAUUUUAAGCUUGUAUUAUGGCUUAAAAGUGGUACAGAUCAUGGUGGGGAUAAUUGCAUGUGAGAUUGGGGGCAUGAAUGAUAUGAAAAAUUGAGGGAAGGGUGGAAGGAAGGGGAACACGUGAAGGAGAGUAAUCAGAAGAGGAGAUGAUAAAUGAAUGAAGGCAAUGGAAACAUGCUUAUAUACUUGUGUUUUGAGAAGUCUCAAAUGCACCAAGGUAAAUCUAUAGAUAAAUAUCCAAUUUUCCAUGCCGCAUGGUUGUUAAAUUUUGCAUUUUUCACCCGUUGUCUUACCAUUUGCACUGCACCAAGGUAAAUCUAUAGAUAAAUGAAAGAUAAAAAACAUUAAUAAUAAGAAAAAGGAAAAUGAUUAAAUGCACGACACAACUGUCGUGUGAAUCCUGCGACUGACCUGGCAUCUUGAUGGAGCCACUCUCUUAAAUUCUAUUUCAUACAAAAUGCCCAAUUUGACCUUAGAUCUUUUUGGCUAGAUCGUUUUGGCUGCAACUAUGUGAAUCGGUGCAAAGACAAGGGGAGUAAAUCAAUCAUGUAACUACUUGUUUACUUUUUUUUUAUAUAAAAAUCAAGUGUGAUUUGAUGAUUUCAAUCUUAUAACGAAAUGAAACUUGCUGCAAAGUUCAUAUAUGAAUGAGGUUAUGGAGAAGUGGUUGUAUGGCGUCUCUCUGUUCGUUAGAUUUGAAGGCAAACAAUUGCGGCAAUGAAAACAAGGAAUACAGCAAGAUCAGUGGAAGUAACGGUAGAGAUGAGUUGCAAGAUGUCGAUUAAAAUCUACAAAGUUCAUACAGAAUAUGUGAUCAUGACAGCAAAUGUGUUAUUUUCUCUUUUGCACUGAUAUUUCACUUUUGUAUUGUUUAUUUUAAAUAACUGGAUUUAAUAAAAAAAAAAUAAAUGACCAAUAGAAAUGGAGAGUGCACGUGAGGGAGGUGACGUCGUGCGUUUCGUCGCUGCUAUAUGUCGCACCAUAUAGCAGUUCUCUAAGAAAAAAGAUAGCGUAAUGUAGUGAAUUGAUAGCACUACUAGAAAAAGCAAAAUUAGGAAGGGAAAUUUGUGACGGAAAACAUAAAAUUCCUCACAAAUUUCUUGGUCGCAAAAUUUAGUGACGGAAUUAGGGAGGGAUUUCAUGUUUUCCCUCACUAAAUUUUCCUCACUAAUUUUUGUUUUUUUAGUAGUGUAGAGAGAAAAUGGUUUAUGUACCCUAGAAACAUCAAGAAGAGUGAAAGAAGAGCGAGAAAAAUGAUCUUUUGAUUUCUCAUUAUGUUUAACUUGAAAUUGAUUGCACAACCUUGUAUGGUAUGAGCAGGUGUGUGUGUGUCUAUAGAUCAGAGUGGGAGAAUAUUUUUAGUGUCAAAAGGUUAAAUGACAAAUAAAUUGAACAGUUAUCGUGAUAUAUAUAUAUUUGGAUAUAUCGAAAAUAUAUUUUGCUUACUUAUAUUCCCAAUCAAAUCAUAGUAUGAUACCACUAUUUUUGGAUAAGGUACUAAAAUAACUCUAAAUCAAUUACUAUGAGUUAUAUGAAUGGAUCAUGUGUAAAAAUGUUUUACAUCACCACCUGGGUAUAUAUGAAAUUAAUCUCAAUAAAUAACUAAACUGAAAUUCUUACUCAAAAUAACGAAGCAAGUAAAUAGUUAAAAAUCAAAGUACAAGAUUCAAUGACGAUAUUUAAUUAUGAAGAUGUUGGAGAUACCUAUAUAUUAAAUGAGAAACAUGGAGGGACAAAAAGGUUUUUGUUGAAAUUAUGAAAAUUAUUAUAUCGACUAGCGUUCAUUAGAGCACUUCGUGCUCGUCUGUCAGUUCUUUUUAUUGCAUUAUUGCGUAUAAAUAACGAACAAAUUUUUUUAUGAAAUUUUGAUUUUGAUUCAAUGAGUUUGUUUUUGAUUAAAAGUAUAUGUAUUGGAUAUUUUAGUUUUUCAUAUUGCAACAAACUAUACUUAUCUUUUUCAAUGAUACCAACAAUAUAACAAAUAUCUUUUCUAAAAUGAAAACCAUAUAACAAAUGUAAUAUAUAUUCUUACCUUAUUGAAUGAGAUAAAAAAUAUAACAUUAUUAUAGGCAAAUUUAUUUAAGGGUAAAAUUGGAAGUGAAAAAGCCAACCCAAACCAUGUAUUCUCAUUAUAUAUAGUAUAUAUGAAAAGAAAGGGACACAUUUUCGCGUUUAUUAUUCGUUUGUUUUACAUGUUAGUAUCCACAUCAAUACCUCGUGAUUGUAUUGUGGCUAGUUGGCUAGAAUCGAUCUUGAGUUUGUUGUUGUUUUUCAUAAUAAAUUGUGGCGUCUAGGUUUGUUAUCGUAUUCAUGGUGGAAUCCAGCCGUCUUUCUCAAAAUUUGGGGUCCAGUUUUCAUCAAUCCACACACUUCUUUUUUUCCUUCAAUUUGAUUUCAUGUUCGUACGCGGAUUUAUUGGAUUGUAUGGUAGUGUUUGCUUGAAUGCUUCAAAUAGUGAUUUGUCGUUUCUUACCCUUUAGGGUUAUUUGUGUUACUCGUUCCGACUCUCUCUUUUUUGCUUAUUGUAUCAGGUUUUCUUUUCCUCGGUUUUAUGUACUUUUUAAUUUAAUCUAUCGCAUAUCCAUCUAAGUCAUAUUUGGUCAAACAAAUAUAAGGAACGAAAGAGAGAAUAUUAUGGAAUAUAUUAUCACCAUCGAAAUCUCUUUAUUAACGUGGAGGCUCUUCUCUGUUGUGAACCCGACUAUAGAUAAUUUGACUUGCAGAAGUAUUUCAAAUUAUGAAUUUUUGUUAUGCUCAUGUGGUUGUUGUAAAUAAGAAAUGGUCAACAAUUUGUUCUUCCAGUGUAACUUUUUUGGUAAUAUCUGGUCUGCUCUUCUUGAGUGGUUGAAUAUUUCUUGCCAUUUACUAAAUAAACCUUUUGUGCAUGCUCUUAGACCCCGUGGUUCUCAUUUCCUCCAUAAAGAGAUUAGUCAUUGCUUGCAGUUUAUUUGUUUGGCGUGUAUCUUGAUUUAUUUAGAAAGAAAAAACUAUAGUCUCCAUGGAGAAAAGAUAUUAUCUAAGAUGCAAGAUGCAAUUGAUAGACAAAAUAAAAUAUCUUGUUUGGUGGUAGCAAACCACCAAGAAGGUGGAUUUUACUUUUGAUUUUAAUUUAUGGUUGAUUAACCCACUAACUUGUCUUGGUUAUUCCAAGAUCUGGUUUAGUUUGUGGUGCGUCUAGUUUGUAUUAUAAACUUUUUUAAUUUUUUCAUUCUUGACAGAUCUUGUACUUGAACGAAUUUUUAAUAUAUUAUUUAUUUGGUUUCUUCAAAGAAAACAAAUCAUCUGAGUUUUAUCGUAAGAAAUCAUAUAUUUUUCAUCAUAUCGUUAUUGAGUACAUAUCACCUUUGUAAUUUAUUUCUCAACAUGGAUUUAUACAUAAAAAUUAAACUAUGAAAGAGAAUUGAAGACACGGGUCCUCCAGCCAACGCAUUUGCAAACUCCAUUAGGAGGAUCACAAUAAGCUGAAUACCCUCCACUUGCAUCACAUAAUCCCUGACAUUGUGCAUUGCAAUUUUUCAUGCCGCACGGUUGUUGAAUUUUGCAUUUUUCACCCGUUGCCUUACCAUUUACACUGCACGAAAGUAAAUCCAUAUAUAAAUGAAAAAUAAAAACACUAAGAAUAAGAUUAAAGAUAGCAUAUUGUAGUAAAAAGAUAGAGAUACAAUGUUUUAUGUACCCUAGAAACAUCAACAAGAGUGAAAUAAGAGCGAGAAAAAUGAUCUUUUGAUUUCUCAUUUUGUUUAACUUAAAAUUGGUUGCACAACGUUGUAUGAUCUGAGCAAUUGUGUGUGUCUAUAUAUAGAUACGUGUGGGAGAAUUUUUUUUAGUAUCCUGGAGUAAUGUAGACUAAGAUGGAGUCAAAAAGAAAUUAAUUUUAAUUAAUCAUUAACAUAAUAAAUGUGUAAUUUACAUAUGUGAAAAGAAAUGAAUCAUUAAUUCCAUUGUCAAAGUUUUAGUUUAUAACUUUUGACCCAAACAAAUAUAGUUUAUAACUUUUCCAAAUUAAACAACUAUAUCCACACACUCGGUACAAGUCUAUUCGAAUAAAAAAUAAAUUUCCAUUUAAUAUUGUAUAAAGUUAUAUAAAAAACUUUAAUGGUGGUAGAUAAAAUUUACAAAAAAAUAAUAAAAUUAAAAAAGGUAUGUAAUUUUUUUUUAUAAAAAAAACAAUACUUUUCUUUAGUUAAAAAUAUCGAAAGUACGUUACAACAAUAUUUUAAAACUUUAUAUACCAAGUCAUGCAGUUUAAUAUUUAAAAUUUAACUAAGUCACAAUUAUUUUUUUUAUUCUUUCAACGUACGUUAUCAACAAUAUUUUACAAAAGUUAUUUAUUUUUAACUUUUAUAAGCUGUUAUUUUUUAAAACUUUAUAUAACAAGUCAUCUAUAUUAACAUAUACAAUUUAACUAAAUGUCGGUUGUUGAGUUUUUGUCUUUUUUAUUAGUGGUUUAAUUUUUAAGAUUAGAGCAUAAUUUCUAUAUUAUUUAAGACGGCUUUGUGUCAAAAGGUUAAAUGACAAAUAAAAUGAAUAGUUAUCGUGAUAUAUAUAUAUAUAUAUUCUAAACUACACUUUGCUUAUGUGUCACCUCACCAAUGCUCUUUUUUUAAUUUAACUUUAUUUUAAAGCAUUCUCCUAUUAUUGAUGAUAUUGUUGAUUAUGAAAUAUAUAUAUAUAUAUAUAUAUAUAUAUAUAUAUAUAUAUAUAUAUAUAUAUAUAUAUAUUGGAUAUAUCAAAAAUAUAUUUUCCUUACUUAUAUUCCCAAUCAAAUCAUAGUAUGAUACUAUUAUUUUUGGAUAAAGUACUAAAAUAACUCUAAAUCAAUUACUAUGAGUUAUAUAAAUGGAUCAUGUGUAAAAAUGUUUUACACCACCACCGGAGUAUAUUAUAUAGCGGAGGAAAGCAUGGGCUGAGGUGGGCCACGGUCCACCCCAAAAAAAAUUAAUUUUUUUUUUUUAGAGAGAAAUUACAAAAAUAUUCUUGACUUGAUUUGUUUUUUUUCAACUGGCCCAUCCAACCUCUUCACCUCCUCUGUUAGAUAACUAAAUUUCUCAUUCUCUUCUCACUCUUUCAUUAUUUUCUCAUUCUCUUGUUUGUUGUUAUUGUUUGUUGAUCGUUCGGAAUUGAAUUUUAAAAACUGCAAUGCAAUCAUAUUUACUGAAUUGGCUUAAUUGAAUAUUGAAUAGGAUUAUAGGAUUAGAGGAGCAUACAAGAUGGAUUUUUCAACUUAUGCAUAUGUCAUGCCACUUUGUUAGUGUUUAUUGAAUUGUUCUUGCUUGUUGCAAAUGCUUUUUUCUUUUAUAUACCGUAGUUCAAUCUAUGUUUAGUUAAGAUUUUUUUUUCAACUUAUGCAUACUUUAGUUCAAUUUUUCUUCAUUUUAGAACUAGUUUAUGUUUAACUUAUGCAUAUAACAAGGCUUUUUUUUCUUUCUUUUCAACUUAUGCAUAUUAGUUUAUGUUUAACUACGAAGGCUUUUCUCUAUACUUGUUAGUUUCUUUUUUUACCUUUUAUAAACUUUUAAUAAUGCAUAAUUUCUUUAAUUUAGAUUGUUAUUGACUUGUGGAAUUAUUUGAUUUUUUGAAAAAUUGAUCAUUUUCUAAGAGGAAAGUUUGUGGGAGUGAAAGAGAUGAACAAGGAAUAUCUUAUAUAUCUUAACAUGUUAAAGUUUCAAGAAUAGAAGUGGUAACUUCUACACCUCAAGGAACUAAGAUCACGUUUGGUUGUAACUAAGAUGAAUCAAAUUUACUUUUUGAUUGAACAACUUUGUGCUUAACGUUUAUUACAACAUAAAUUUCAUGUUUAUUAUAUAUUAGAGUUAAUUUUGUUGGCCCACCCCAGAUAUAUUUCCUGGCUCCGCCACUGGGUAUAUAUGAAAUUAAUCUCAAUAAAUAACUAAAAUGAAAUUUCUUACUAAAAAUAACGAAGCAAAUAGAUAGUUAAAAAUCGAAGUACAAGAUUCAAUGACGAUAUUUAAUUAUGAAGAUGUUGGAGAUACCUAUAUAUUAAAUGAGAAAACAUAGAGGGACAAAAAGGUUUUUGUUUAAAUUAUGAAAAUUAUUAUAUCGACUAGCUUUCAUUAGAGCAUUCCGUGCUCGUCUGUCAGUUCUUUUUAUUGCAUUAUUGCGUAUAAAUAACGAACAAAUUUUUUUAUGAAAUUUGAUUUUGAUUCAAUGAAUUUGAUUUUGAUUAGAAGUAUAUGUAUUGGAUAUUUUAAGUUUUUCAUAUUGUAACAAAUUAUACUUAUCUUUUUCAAUGAUACCAACAAUAUAACAAAUAUCUUUUUCUAAAAUGAAAAUCAUAUAACAAAUGUAAUAUAUAUUCUUACCUUAUUGAAUAACAUCAAAAAUAUAACAUUAUUAACAUGUGCUUUUUAAUUGUUCUAGCAGCCGAAAUCUAUAACAAAUUAGUGUGCUACUCCACACUGUUGAUGUUGCUGUUAAUCAAUAUCAAGAAUCUCCAGGUGAAAUCUUUCAAAUUCUUCAAAAUCCAACAAUUGAUGAGGCUGCACAUUUUGCUUGUAUUUCAUGGGGUAUCCGGAAAAAAAGAAAUAACAAGAUUUGAAAUAAUGUGGUAGAUGCUCAAAGUUUAGUGGUUGAGCAAGCAUGGAUGAUGCUUUAAGAAUGGAAGGUUGUUCGGAGAGUCUGUGGACAUGCUGGCUCUUACCGAGCUAGUAGAGAAAUGGAUUAAUGUCAAAUGGAUUAAACCUUAACCCACCUAGAUUGCUGAUGGUGUUGGCUUGCAACUAUAGAGAGUGCUCUUUUCAUGGUCUCGAGUUCGAUUCUCUCUAAUGCAACUUUCGAUGAACUAGGUAUCAAGAAAUGUAUUAGACAUGAGUGGGGUGCCUUUGGUUUGGCUAAAAUAGAAUGGUUCUCCCUGGUUUGUUAUUUUUACUUUGGAGCAACUCUUGCCUUACUUUCAUCUCUCAAUUCGAUGCAUGAGCUAUCUCUCAAUUGUAUUGGAAAGCUAAUGUUGCUCCUCUGCAUGAUUGAACCAAAGCUGUCUGAUCUUAAUCUGUCUGAUUUUAAUCAUGCGGCUAAUGUUUAACCUAAUGACCCGCUCCAGUUGCCUGUAUACCGACCCGGUUCGGAUCUUUUGUUUUAAACCCAGCUGUUUCCUUUUUCAGCUUGCUCUCAUACCCCCUGAAUACUGCUGCACCCCCACCUUGUGAUUGAACCCCAUUUUUAUUUCUUUCAAGUCUUACAUAAAUAAUUUAGGCUUUGAUGUAAAUAAUUUAUUUAUUUUCUUGUCAUUUAUUUUCCGCAGACCAUAGCAUGUAUAAUAGGGCUUUUUGUAAUAGCUUUAGGUGCAUGUGUGCGUGUAUGUUUACCUCUUAUGCUUUAGUAGUUUAGGUCAAAGGUCCUCGUGGUGGUCCAACGCCACCAUAAGGUACCUACGUUUUUAUUUUUCUACUCCGUUAGUUUAUAUUCUAGUUCAUUUAUUCAAAAACAACAAAAACAUGCAAAUAACAAAAAAAUCAUAAAAAACAUUUUUCAUAAUAAACCUUGAUCCAAAUCAAGUGACCGCAUUUUUAUUUUAUUUUCUUAAUCAAACAUCAAUCAAUUUAAUUCUACUUCGAGUUUAUUUUCAUUUAAAUUAAAAAACACAAACAAAUUUAUUUUGCCAUUUGGCUUUUCCUUUUAAAAUCUUUUUUUCAAAACUAUUAAAAAACACCAAACCAAUCAAACGUUGUUUUCUACCCCGAACUACGAGGUUUUGAUCCCUCACGGGUACGUAGGCAGAGGACACUCGUCCUUCCAAACAAUAAAAAAUGUAGAUAAAUUAGGUCUCACUUUAUUUUUCUUUUAAUCAUCAUAUUAACUCCUUUUUUAAAAGCAAGCAAGUUUAUAGCACAAAAAGUAAAUGAAACCAAGAGGUUCCCGUAGAGUACUACGGACAUAAAGGGUGCUAAUACCUUCCCUUUAUGUAACUAAACCCCGAACCCUAAAUCUUUUCAAAUAGGGGUAGUUUGAACUUUUUUUUCCCUUUUCAUAAUAAAAUUAAAUGUUCAGUCGUGAAAUAAAUUAGCGAGUCAAAAGCUAAUCAAAUAGCCUUGAUCUCCGAAAAAUGACGCGACAUAGGGCAAUUGAAUUAAUGUAGAUGUAUGUGAAUGUGGUGCUUCAUUGAGCAUAACAUGUUACCCUUAUCUUGUAUUUUGUUUGCAAGUUGCUGACUUGAGUAAUCUAUGCACAAUGAAAAACAUAAACAACUAUGUUUUUUCAGUUUACAGUGCUUCCUUUUUUGUGAUUACUUUUCAUAUGCCUUGUAUGCUUCAAAUUCUAAUGUCUAAGUCUUCAUUUUCUAAUUGAAAAAGUACUUUUGCAUGUGUUCUUAUUUUCCUGUUUUGCAUUCUUUUCAUGAUUUACAUUUCUGAUUCCAGAAAACUUGAUAACAUCCAACUAUGGAGCCACCCAAAUAGAUAAACAAGAACAAGAACAAGCAAAAGAACAAGGUGUUGUCACACAAAACGACAAACAAGAAGAACAACAAGGGUUGUGUACCCACUCAACUUCAACCUCAGCUCCAAACCCAACCUCACCCCCAACCUAUUCCAAAUAUAACACAACCUUCACUCACUCAACCCUAACCUCAGCCUCAACCUAUUCCGUAUUUGAUUCAUUCUAAACUAGCUCAAUCCCGACCACAACCUCAAUCCCGGACUAUUCCACCGUUGUUUCUAUCUCAACCUCAAUCCAUCCCAUCUCAACCCGGUCAAGCUCAAUCCAUGUUUAGAUCUAUAUCUCAAUUCCAACAUUCUCAACCUCAACUUCAAUCUACCCAAUCACACCUUCGACCACAAUCUACACAAUCUCACCCUCCAUUAACUCAACUUGAACCAAGUCAACCUCAACCUCGAUCACGGUCUCAAUCCACCCAACCUCACCCUCAAUCCACUCAACCUCAACGAAGUCAACCACUACCGCGGCCUCAAUCCAACCCAAUCUCACCCUCAAUCCACUCAACCUCAACAAAAUCAACCUCUACCGCGGCCUCAAUCCACCCAAUCUCACCCUCAACCCACUCAACCUCAACAAAAUCAACCUAAAAAACGACCCAUCCAUACCCAAGUUAUGGUCAAUAGAGCUCCAUCUUCAGCUAGCCAUGUUAGUGGAGACACCGUUGGUACUAAAAUACCAAUAAUUCCAGAUGGUGAGGGGUGAGUUUGUUGCUCCCAUAUAAUAAUGAUUAUUUGGCUAAUAUAAAUAUGGCUGACACAUGAUUCUGUUAACUUGCCUUUUGGAUCAAGUAACAAUGCAAGACUGUUGUGCUUGUGGUAUUAUGAUUUUAGUGGUCAAAUCUAAAAAUUCAUAUUAUUUUUUUUCGUGUACAUUAUAUUAUGGAGUUAACAGUCAAGUCAACCACAUUUAUAUUCAAAAAAAGAUGGACUUAUCUACUCAGAAUCUACCCAUUUAUAUUCUGGAGUUGCAAAUGAGGCACCAAAUGCAACGGCAAGAAAAAGAGAUGAGCAAAACUAAUAAAAAACUUGCUGUCAUUAUGAAACAUUUGGGAUUUGUUGGAUCUUCUUCCCAUGUUUCAAAUCCCAACAGUGAAUCAAAUGAGCACAUUGAUGAAGAGGACAACAAUGAUUUUUUUGAAGAUGACCAUGAUUUUUCUGAAGAUGUUGAUGAAGAUAACAAUAGUUAUCAUAUUGAUAACUAGUAACUUGGAGUCUCAAAUUAUGGUAUGUUUCUUUAUUGUUAAGAUAGUUGGAAGUUAUGUGGAGUUAGUUAAGGUAGUUAGACUAGACUUAGUAAUCAACUAUAGUUAGUUGAUAAGUAAACUAGAGUUAGUAGCUUGGUUAGAAGUUAGUUAGAGGUAGUUACUCAAACUAAUCUCUAUAUAUAGGAACACUAUUGUACUCAUUCAUUAUCUUUUAUCAAUCUAUUCAUUUCUACAAUGAGUUACUUUGAGUAUCUCCCUCAUGAGUACUCUUAUGCUUGCUAUCUUGCUUACAUCUAUGACUUUUCUCCCUAUGAUUCCAUGAUUCUUAACAUUUAUUGGACUCUUUGUGUACAGUUGCCUUUUUUCACAUAUAUUAGCAUAUGAAGUAAUUUGCUCCAUUGUUGAAAAUAUGUGUAUUAUUAGUAGUAUUGUUAUGAAUUGUACUUUUUUGUUCUAGGCUUGAACUUUAGAAGAUCUCAGCCUCUCUAAAAGUAUUCACAUGGUAGAGUAUGACAUACUUUUAGCCAGAUUAGAUUUACAGAAUUAAUUCGUUCAAUAUAUCAAUUUUUGUCAACAUUACUUAUUAUUGUGAAUCUGUGGUACUCACAAAUCUAAUUAUAUGCUUUUGUUGUUGUACUCUUGUUAAUAUGUGAUGUUGGUUUUUGCAGAUAAUGCUGGUGUUAUUGUGAAUCCUAAGGGAGAAAUGAAAGGUAUCAUUUGUUCAUUUUUCUGUAGUAAACUCAGAUUAUAUACUUGGGACCUAAUGCUCAUGCAAAUAUGUUUAGAUCUUUUGUAAUUGAAAUUGAAGUGUCAUAUUAAAUUAGUACACUUUCUUCAUUGCCUUUUGGCUAUUGUUAUAAUGUGGUUAUGCUAAUUUUUUCACAAGAAAAAAACAUACCACCUGUCUUUUUGUUAGUUUGCUAAAUUAUUUUACCUUUUGACUGUUUUGUCUAAUUGAUUCAUUGCUGGUAUUUGAUUUGGGUUUUAAUAUAUAUGUCAUGUUGUCCAUUGUAGGUUCCGUUAUCACAGGACCAAUUGGAAAGGAGUGUGCUGAUCUUUGGCCUAGGAUUGCAAGUGCUGCCAAUGUCAUUGUAUGAGUGUUGAUUCUGUUUCAAGAUUGCAAGUAGUUCCAAUGCCCUUUUGUGGCAGUUUUAAUACAAGUGAAAUGUUUUUAGGUCUUGCAAGACAAUUUUGUCAUAUUAUAGUGUUUGUUGAAAUGUUUAUUAUGCAUAUUUUGCAGCUUCAUAAUGAUGGAGACUUGAUGUAUUUUAUGACUAGUGUUUUUGUUACAAAGAACAAGUUUUUAUUGCCAUUUUUUUUAGUGUAUCCUAUUUUUGGAUUUUUUACCUCUUUACAUGUUUUUAAAAAAACGCAUAUGCUAUGUGCCAAAUUUGACUCGAGAUAGUUUCUAAUAAACUUCUAUAUCAUCUUAAAAAAUAAAUAAACUUCUAUUAUCAAAAAAUAAUUAAAAAUGACUUUUAAUAUGGCUGUUGGCAUUCAUUAAUAGAAAAUAAUCAAAAAAUUGUACCGAUGAAACAGAUGGUUCUUAUGAACAGAUAAAUUUCCUGGGGAUUUUUCUGCGGAUUGGUUCAGUUUCCUGACGAAUUACCUGCGGAAAUAGCUCUGCUGCGGCAUUACCUAAGACAUUUGCUGCGGAAUUUCAUGCGGAACAUUUGCAGGAAACAUUGACAGGCAGGGGAAUCUCUCCCACUCUGACCAAACAUUUCCUGCGGAUAUUAUUGGCUUUUCCUGAGGAAAAAAUUUCCUGCGGUUUCAAAAAUCCUCAGGAAACAAUUACCCACCAAGGUAUAUUACCUGGGAGUGCAAAUCCUUGGCAAAAUCGGCAGGAAACCUGUUUCCUGCGGAUUUUUCACUUGAUUCCGCAGGAAAAUCGAGAGUUACUAGUAGUGUAACUUGUGCCUUUAUGUGAAAGAGGUUAAUAUAAAGAAUCACUUAUGUCAGCAACUUUAGGACUAGUUGAUAUUGUAAAAUCAAGGACAACCUCCUGAGGCUUAGGAGAAGCUUAUAUAUAACUUUUUCGAUAUCUGUUAUUAGUUGGAAUUAAGUUUGGCUCAUGUGUUGGAUCACCGUUGUCAACAUCCUCUCCUUUCAUGCCAAUCAUAACCAGCAUCAAACUUCCUUUCAUGUAAGUUUAUGCAUGCCUGCAAUUAUCGGUUAUGGUAGCCUUAAUUGUAAAUUUUGGUUUUUUCAGAUUGUGUUGAUAAAUUGGUGAACAACAUUCAUGAACAAAAAUGUGCAACGCGGACAAGGAAGUAUUGCCAACAAUGUACCUCACUUGGAAAUGAAGUUUGAUUCUGAGGCGGCGGCUUAUGAAUUUUAUAAUGAGUACAGUAAAAGAAUUGGAUUUGGUAUUCAUCGAGAAUAUGGAAAUAAAAGCAUAGUAGAUGGAGUUUUGACUUCAAGAAGAUUCACAUGCUUCAAAGAGGGUGUACGAGGUGUUGGCAAAAGACAUCAACCAAAAGGGGAGCCUAGAGCAGAAAUUAGAACAGGAUGUUUGGCGCGUAUGGUUAUUUCACUUGAUCAGAAGAUAGAGAAAUAUAAAGUUGUUGACUUUAUAGCUGAACAUAACCACCACCUUCAAAUAUAAAGUUGUUGACUUUAUAGCUGAACAUAACCACCACCUUCAAAUAUAAAGUUGUUGACUUUAUAGCUGAACAUAACCACCAUGUUCAUAUAAAGUUGUCGACACUUAUAGGUGUUUUUGUAAGUUUCUAGGUGUUGAUUUUAAGAGUCAUGGCCUUGCAACAUGUUGCUGACAGCUUUUACAGUUUUCGGCCAAGACCUUAAUUCAAAACCUGAAUCAUUAUAUGACAAAGAGAUGUUGUUUAGUAUGAUAUUAUAAACUCAAGUCCUAAGCAGUUAUCAGAAUUGCGGUGUUUUUAUUACCUAUGAUAUUAUGUGCUGCUGCUAUUUUCAAUUUCUGUUCAGAUGCUUUUGUCAAAUUGCGGUGUUUUUAUUACUUAUGAUAUUAUGUGCUGCUAGCUAGUAUUUUCAAUUGCGGUGUUAUCAUAAAUUGAAGUAUUCCAAUUACGACGACGUUACUAAUAAAAAAAACCAAUGCCGCGACUUCAGAAUGUUGUUUUUUAACACCGUUAUCAUAAAUUGAAGUAUUCCUUCAUUCUAACAUUGUUCUCUUCAUUCCUUCAUUCUCCUAUUUGUACAAUUAAGAAGAAUAUUUUCUGUUAGGCAUUUUCUCCUAUUUGUACUAACAAGAGGACCUGUAUAGUUCCUAUGGCAAGAAUAGAGCAUUGAUCUGCCACAUUCCAUUCUGCCUAAUUGACUAUCAACCAACGCCGCUUAAUAUAAUUGCAAGACUGAAAAUUUGUAACUGACAAUAAUUGUUGUAAGGGCAGUAAUUCCCACAACCAAACCAGCCGUAAUAGUGAUGCGUAUCAAUGGAAGGAAGGGGAAAUAUAUCGAGUACUGAUGUACUCCAAGAAAUAUGUAUGUUCAUAAGGGGAAAUAUAUCAGUUUCGAGUAGUGAUGCGUAUCAAUGAAAAUUUCGAGUACUGAAGGGGAACCACCUAUGAUUAUUUAUGUAAUGUCAUAUAAUUUUAAUCUUUUUUUUGUAAGCAGGUGACUUGAUGGGAGUAUAAGGGGUAUUCAAUCUCAUUGUAAAAUAUUGUUAGCCACUUUGAAGACAAGACAGAGGGUUAGAGCACAUUGAAACAAUCUUUAACUCUAGCUCCAGCUACAAACCAAGCCAACAUAAAAUUUUAAUAAUAUCUAGAACAAGCCUCGUCAACCAUAAACACCAUGAAGGGGCUAACUGAAUCAAGCAUUUUCAUUUUAUUAUGAAUUCUUUUGUAUGGGUUCAGAAAUUCAUAUGUAUUCCAUAUUAGGGACAAACUACAUAGUUGCCAAAAUUGGGAAUUGAGAUUCAUUAUUAGAUCAAGCCAGCGUUAAUCCAAUGAAGGUACACUUUGCAGAGAACAAAGUCACAAUCAAUGAAAUGAAGCAACUCAAUUCUUCUUAAAUAAUUUUUUUUUGAAAUGAAUUCUUUCUUAAUCAGAAGGGGGAAGAGUGCGCUGGUGGAUGGAGGGAGAGGUGCGGUGGCGAUGUAAGGGAGAGAGGUGCUAUCUGAGAAGGAAGAAGGAGGGUUUGUAAGCGCAUAGGAUUUGUUUCGAGUAGAGAGCGCGUAGGAUUUUUUCUCAUUAAAAAAUUGUUUUUUCCAAACCAUUUAAUCACAAUCAUUGAUCUUAUUUUAUCCACAUGUCACACAUCCAUGUCUUGAGAUGGGGUAAAUUGAGCAAAGAUGCACUCAGAAUUCCGGGGUGUUAUAGGGAUUGAAAAUGAUGAAUUUUAAAAUAGAGAGACAAAUUCGUGAGUGGGUGAAUAUAUAGGGAUCAACACUGCAUUAUUUAUGUCUAUUUUGUUAUAGAGGAAGUACAAUGUUUCAGAUUUUGCAAGGGUAUAAAAUGAAAAGAUUGUUGAAUUAUAACUUGAUUUUCUAAAUGAACCAAAAAUUUUGGAUAAAACUAAAAAAUAUAAAUAUAUUUUUAGUCCUAAUAAAUAUAUUAUUUAUUAUUUGUAUCAAUAAAAUAUUUGUUGGUUUUUAAUCUUUGAAAAUAUAUAAGUUUUUUAUUGUGUCGUUUUUUAUUUGGUACACAGUUUAUACUGUAAUUUGUCCCUAUAAUUGGUGUGUAAUAUAAAUUUUUAAAAUUAGUGGUACAAAAAUCAUGUCCUUGCUCCUAAUGGUUAUAUCUUCAUUGUAAUGUGGUGGGUCUUAUGGAAGGCUCAAAAUGAUAAGAUUUUCAAUGAAAACGAUUGGGUAAAUUGAAUUUGGCUUAACCAUAUUUAUUCUCUUCAUUCAUAUGUCACGUUGAACUUUUCCAAGGAUGCAACUCACAAGCAAAAUAAACAGGUUAAAUUGAUUCCUCCUUCGGAUAAUAUCAUCACCUUUUCAAGGAUGGAACUCACAAGUAAAAUAGACCGGUUAAAUGGAUCCCGCCUUCGAUUAAUAUCAUCAAAGUUAUUGUUGACGAUAGUUCUCUUUCCAAUCCUGAAAGAUCGGGAAUUUGAGGUCUUAUAAGAAACAAUAAUGGUGAUUGAUUGUUGGGUUUUCCGGAUUUUUGUGGUUUUAUUACUUCUUGCUUAGCGACAGAAUUAUAUGUCAUUUUUCAUGACCUUCGUAUUACGUAUGAUGUGGGGCACAAGAACAUUAUUCUUGAAUUUGAUACUAGGGUGGCUCUUGAUUUAAUCACGUCAGAUGUCCAACUUUAUCAUCCUUAUGCUCCUAUAAUCUGUCAGAUUGUCGGGCUCCAUCGUAGAGAUUAAAUUGUUAAUUUUCAUCAAACCCUCCGUCAAGGCAAUGAGUUCUUCUUCUUCAUAUGCUAUAAACUCUGGAGAAUUUUUUCCAUUCUCAACUACAUCACUCCCUUCUUGUUGAUGCCUUUGAAGUUGCUCUCUUAAGAUUUUAGUUUUUGCUUUGUUUUGUCCUUUUUUUUCUUGAUAAAUAAAGAAAGGGUUUGUUGGAUUGUAUAGUAAGGUGUGUAUGACUGCUCGGAUUUGUCAUUUUUUACCCUUUAGGAUUGUUUGUAAUACCUGUUUGGGUUGUUUGUUUUUUGUAUCAGAUUUUAUAUCCCUAUGUUUUCUAUACUUUUUCUUUUAUUUUAAUUUGUGUUGCAUAUCUACAUGCGUCUCAUUUGUUUACAAAAAAUAAAACAAAAAGAAGUAAUAUAUUUAUUUUUAGAAAAACAAAAGUAAAUUAAGUAAAAAAGAAUCAUCAAACAAGCAGUCCGCAUAUUAUCAUAAUAAAAUAUUUAUUAUUCUCAAGAUUGAUAGUGAGUACAUGAUCGUCUUUGUAAUUUGUUUCUCAACGUGGAUUUUAUAUUAAAAUCAAACUCCAUUAAAAUUGAUAGUGUGUGUAUAUAUUUGGACAAUAUCCUCACAGGAAAUUGGAUGCACCAGUCUUCCAGUAACGGCAUUUGCAAACUCCAUUAGGAUAAACACAAUAAAAUGAAUACGCUACACUUGCAUCACAUAAUCCCUGACAUUGUGUCAAGCAAUUUUUCAUGCCGCAUGGUUGUUGAAUUUUGCAUUUUUCACCCGUUGUCUUACCAUUUGCACUGCACCAAAGUAAAUCCAUAGAUAAAUGAAAGAUAAAAACAUUAAGAAUAAGAUUAAAGGUAGCAUAAUGUAGUAAAUAGAUAGAGAGAAAAUAGUUGAUGUACCCUAGAAACAUUAAGAAGAGUGAAAGAAGAGCGAGAAAAAUGAUCUUUUGAUUACUCAUUUUGUUUAAAUUGAAAUAGACUGCACAACGUUGUAUGGUAUAAACAAGUGUGUGUGUGUGUGUGUCUAUAUAUAGAUACGACUGGGAGAAUAUUUUUGGUAUUCUGCGGUACGACAAACUAUGAUGGAGUCAAAAAAUAAUUAAUUUUAAUUAACCAUUAGCAUAAUAAAUGUUAAUAUACAUAUGUGUAAAGAAAUAAAUCAGUAAUUCCACUGCCAAAUUCAAGUUUAUAACUUUUGACCAAAAAAAAAAUCUAGUUUAUAACUUCCCGAAAUUAAACAUCUAAAUCCACACAUUUUGUGCAAGUCUAAUCGAAUGAAAAACAAAUUUCCAUAUGAUGUUAUAAAAGGUUAUAUAAAAAUCUUUGACCGUAUAACAUAAAAAUUUUCAAUAUUAUUUUCUUUUUAUAAGAAAAUAAUAUUUAUCUUUAGCUAAAAAUAGGAAAAGUACCUUAUCAACAAUAUUUUAUAAAAGUAUUUUUUAACUUUUAUCUAAGUUUUUAUUUUAAAAAUUUAUAUACCUAGUCAGAAAAACAAAUUUCCAUAUGAUGUUGUAAAAGGUUAUAUAAAAAUCUUUGACUGUAUAACAUAAAUUUUUUCAAUAUUAUUUUCGUUUUAUAAGAAAAUAAUAUUUAUCUUUAGCUAAAAAUAGGAAAAGUACCUUAUCAACAAUAUUUUAUAAAAGUAUUUUUUAACUUUUAUAUAAAUUUUUAUUUUAAAUCAUCCGGUUUAAUAUUUAAAAUUUAAAUAAAUGACGGUUCGUUUUGAUUUUUUUCUAUUGUUUUUUUUAAAGUACGUAACAAUAUUCAAUAAAAGUAUUUUAUUAUCUAUUAUAAGUUUUUAUUUUUAAAACUUUAUGUACCAAGUCAUCCGGUUUAACAUAUACACUUUAACAAAAUAACGGUUCUUUUUGAGUUUGUAUAUAUUUUAUUAGGGGUUUUAUUUUUAAGAUUAGGACAUAAUUUUUAAAUUAUUUAAGACGACCAUGUGUUAUAACAGAAAAUGACAAACAAAAUGAACAGUUAUCAUCAUAUUGUUUUUUAUAAUAUGCUUUCAAUCAAAUCAUACCAAUUUUGUUUAGUUAAUCAAAUCAUACCAUGAUAUCACUAUUUUUGAGUAUGGUACUAAAAUAUCUCUAAAUCAUUUAAUAUGUGUGAUUUGAUUCGAUGAUCUGUAAAAAAAAAAAUUACACCAAUGUGUGUGUAAAUAUAAAAUUAAUCUCAAUAAAUAAAUAAAAUGAAACGUCUUACUAAAAUUAAAAAAAUCAGGUAGAUAAUUAAACAUCAAAGUACAAGAUUUAGUGGCAAUAUUUAAUUAUGAAAGAUGCUAGAGAUAACGACAUAUUUAAUGUGAAAUAUGGAGGGACAAAAAGUUUUUGGUCAAAUCGAUCACUAUUAUAAGCAAAAAUAUAUUUCUUAGAUUUAUUUGAAUAAAUGAUAUAUAUGGUUUAUAAUAUAGACCGCAUAUAUCACUUAUUCAAUGAAUCUAAAAAGUUGAUUUUUGGUUAUAAUUGUGACGAGAUGGUGUAUAUCAAAAUAAAGAAAGGGACACAUUUUGAAUUUUUUUCAUUUGUAUGUUUUACAUAUUAAUAUCCACUUCAGUACUUCGUGAUUAUAUUCUGGCUAGUUGGCGAGAAUUGAUCUUGAGUUUAUUGUUGUUUUUCAUAAUAAAUUGUUAGCGUCUCGAUUUUUUACCGUGUUGACGAUGGGAUCCAGUCAUCUUUUUCAAAAUUGGGGUCUAGUGCUCAUCAACUCAUACACAUCUUUUUUCUUCUUCUUCAAUUUGAUUCCAUGUCUGUAUGUGGGUUUGUUGGAUUGUAUAGUAAUGUGUGUUUGACUGCUCCCUAUACGGAUUUGUCAUUUUUUUUUUCCCUUUAGGGUUGUGUUGUAAUACCUAUUUGGCUUCGUGAUGGCAAUGUUAACACUAAAUUUUUUCAUGUUGUUGCCUCCUCAUAAGAUCACUUCCUUUGUGGACUCCUCAUAUAUACUUGUAACUAACAAUGAAAAUUUAGGCAAUGUAGCUUGUUAAUAUUUUGUUCAUCUUUUUCAUGUGCAUAAUAACAUUAUUAAGCUUGUUAUUAACACUAUUGAGCCUUCUAUUUAAAUGGAUGAUACAAACAUGCUUAUUGCUCCUUUUACUAUUAAUUGAAGAGUUUAUAUAAGCUUAUUUAAUCCAGUUUUUUUCAACACUUUUGGUCUCUUUAUGGUAAUGAGAUUUUUCAGCAAUAUUGUGAGUGGCUUCCUACAUGUUCUUUUCCUACACCUUUUAACAUGACUAAUGCAGUUGUAAUUCCAAAAGGGGAAAACUAGGUGUCAAUGAAGGAUUGGCGUCUUACAUCACUUUGCAAUAUGGUCAACAAAUUUGUGGCGAAAGUUCUUCCAAAUCGCCUCAAAACAGUCUUAGAUAAGUUCAUAUCUGAAAACUAGUCUAAUUUUGUUCUUGGUAUAUUUAUGUUUAAUACCUCAUUGGUGGCUAUUGAAAUAGUGCACCAUAUGAAUUCAAGGUGAAAGGAAAAGGAGGGAAUGUGGCUUUGAAGCUAGAUAUGAGUAACGUUUAUGGCACAAUUUAUUGCAACUAUCUACAUGGUGUAGUGACAAAAAUAGUUUUUUCUCAUUGAUUAUACUUUGUAUUGAAAUUGUUGAUUACUUGGUUCUUGUCAAUGGAAAUUCCACAUGACCUAUUUUCCUAUGUAUGGGGCUUCAUCAAGGGGAUCCUCUUUCUCAUUACAUGUUUAUUACAUGUGUUGAAGGUCUUACUUUCUUAAUUAAUCAUGCUGAGACUAGUGGAGAUAUUCAUGGAGUGAAAGUUUGCAUCAAUGCUCUUAUUAUUUUACAUAUGCUUUUUGCAUAUUAUUGUUUCUUGUUAUAUAGAGCCAAUUCUAAUAAAGCUCAAAAAAUGAAGAAUAUUUUGUCUACUUAUGGAACAACUUCUAUGAAUGCUAACAAUCUGCAAAAAUCAGAAAUAUUUUGUAGUAGGAACAUAUCUCAUACUGAUCACAAUGAUAUUGCAAAUAUACUUGUUAUUCAAGUUGUUCUUGGUCCAGGUAAAUAUUUGGAGUUUCAUUCAAUGAUUGGCAGAAGCAAGAAUUUUAGUUAUAGCAAAGACCGUAGUUGUAAGAUAAUUAACUCUUGGAGUAGUAAAUGUCUCUCAAACACAAGGCAUGAGGUUCAGAUUAAAUCUAUGCUUAAAUCGUUCCCACCAUAUUUCACGAGCUUAUUCAAGUUACUUUCAUCUUUGUUAUAUGAGAUUGAGAAAAUGAUGAACUCCUUUUGGUCGGGUCGUUCCGGUUCUCGAAACAAAGGUAUGCUUAUUUUUUCUUGGAAUAAGUUGUCAAUGCACAAACAAGAUAGAGGUAUUAGUUUUAAAAUUGUAUCUAAUUUUAAUCUGGCCAUGUUAAGAAAAUACGAUUGAAGGAUCAUGACAAAUCCUUAUAUUACGAUUAAUAGUAAUGAUAUUUCCAUUUUAAAAGAAAAUUGUAUCUCUGAUAUACCAAUAGUUCCUCAAAAUAUAAAGGAUUUACCGUUUGUUGAUUCAUGACUGUCCGGUCUUACUUAUGAUUCAGGAAGAUAAAUGAUGGAGCGUUCCUUUCAUUGCUUCAAUUUUUUUAUCAAGGAAUCGUGAAUGGGUAAUGCUUGUUUUAGCGAGAAACAACGUCCUGUUAGUUUAGUUGAUAAUUCAAGUUUAGUUUAGUGAUAAUCAUGAUUAAUUGAUUGAUCACACUUUGUUUUAGUUUGUUUUAAAGUUUGUUACAAGUUGGUUAUAAGUUUUAGGAAAUAAGAGUUAGAGUUGUUACUUACUUGUGCUUCAAGUAACAUAACAAUUGCUUGUAUAUAAGCUCAUUCCUUGUACAAAUUUUCCUUAGAAUCAAUAUACAAAUACUUUUCCUCAAUCAUAUAAUCUUUCUCUCUUCUCAUUCUCUCUCCCUAAAUCGCAAAAUUCACUAAACCCUAAAAACUGCAAAACUGCUUCUGGUUAUUGCUUGUGAUACAAGCUUUGAUUUGCUGCGCUUAGGGGUGGUAAUAGGCCAGGCCAGGCCAGGCUUUGAUAGGCCUGAGCCUGGCCUACGAAAUAAAUCACAAGCCUAAGCUUGGCCUAGGCCUAUCAUAGGCCGUUUUUCUAGGCCUGGCCUGGCCUAUUUAAAAGCCUGGACUGGCCUGAAAGCCUACUUACAUGCCUACUUCACAUUAAGGCCAUCAAAUAGUUCAUUUGGCCUACUAAAUAGGUUAAACAUGUCUUAAAGACUACUUAAAAGCCUAUUUCACUACAAGUAAAUUUCAACUAGAUUAAAGCCUACAUAAAAGCCUAUAACAACAAAGCCUAUUAAGGGACUAAUAGAUAGAGAAAAAGAUGUUUAUAUUUUUAAUAUAUGCAAUUAUUUUAAUAUAAAAAAUAUUUUUUAAUAAAUAAGUAUUAAUAGGCCGGCCUAUUAGGCUUAACAGUCUUUUUUUGAAGUCUAAGCCUGGCCUAUUUAACUAAAUAGGCUUUCCAAAAAGCCUAAGCCUAGGCCUAUCUACUAAAUAGUCCAGGCCAGGCCAGGCCAAAACAGGCCAGGCCGUAGGCCCCUAUAGGCCGGCCUGGCCUAUUCCCAACCCUAGCUGCGCUAACAAAUUGGCAUCAAGAGCUUGUGGUUUCGUUCUAAGGGUUUAUCAAGAUCUUCAAUCACGCAAAUUCAGGAAGAAACGCUGAAGGAAGAACUAUGAAUGGUAGCAGCAGUUUCAACACUCAUCUUCUAAUUUUUGAAGCACGCAAUUGGGAAAGAUGGAGCGUAGUAAUGAAGAACUUGUUUAGAGCAUAAGAUUUGCUUGAAAUUGUGCAGAACGGUGUAGGUGAUUUAGCUAUGAAUGCCACAAGAGUGCAAAGGAACGCACACAAGAAUCUGAAGAAGAAAGAUUGCAUGUGCGUUCCUUAUGCAUGUGUGUUUUUUCUUUUCAAGGAGUGCAAAGGAACAGUGUAGGUUAUAUAGAUAAUGUGACUUAGGUUAAGGUUAUAACCUAAAUCACGUUAUAACCUUAAAAAGAUCUAUAUAUGGGUGUGUGGUAGUGUUGAUUUUGAAUGGUUGUUUAACAUUGCUAUAAAUUCAUAGCAAGGUACAAACACAUGAGGACUAGAGUGUGACAAAUUCAUUUACCAGGCCCCACUGAUUUUAGGAGAUACAUACAUGUGUUUUGGAAUUGAAUGUAGUUGAAAGUAUGAGUGUGUUCUUUAAGUCUGUCCCGCUUGCAUGGAAGUGGGAAGAGUAACAAUCUGAACAAACACCAUCUCUGGAAAUGUAUGUUCCAAUUCUUAAAUUCAUGUACAUUCUUUGUUUGAGGAUAAGCAACAAUUUUUGUUUGGGGUUAUGAUGACGGAGCAUCAUAUAAUAUUUUAGGCUAUGUUUUUUUAGUUAUUUUCUUUGGAUUUCUCCUCAUGUUCUCUCGAGGUUAUGUAUUUCUAUUGUUUUGUUAUGAUGUUAAUUACAAUGUGUAAUUAAACCUUUCUUGAUUAGGGUUUCACAGUGAACCUCUACUUAUUUGUUGGAUUUAAUUAAUAAAAUUUUCUAUCCAGUUUAUGAUUCUAUUGCCCGAUUUAAUUUGUAUAUGCUCCACGCUCAAUGCUUUUCAACAAAAUGUUGACAUGAUAUGUAGGUUAAGGUAUAAGACUCAACUAUCUUGUCGGUGCUCAAACAAGAAUAGUCGUAAAUUGUUUAUUUUAUAAGUUAAUCUCUUUUAAUUGAGUGUAUGUAUGAUCGUUAGAGUUAUGACUCAUCUUUAAGGGUACAUCGCAAAUAUAGCCUUUGUUUGGGCACAAAUACUCGAAUUUCGCAUCAUUACAUCACAAGGUCACAUCAGAACCUUCAUUUAUCAAAGCAGGUCAUAAGUAAUAUCAAACCGAGUUAAUUCCAACAAAGAAGAUAGAGGAGAUUCAAGGAUACCCUAAUCAUCGUUAAACAUCCGAAUCAAAAAUCUAAUCUUGCAUUGUGCAAGUCAAUUGAAAACAUGAAAACCUUUUAAACUCUUUUACUACUUUUACUCAAAUAAAUUCCAAUAAUUGUUAAGUUGAAUAACAAUCUUUAUGAGGACGAUAAAUUACUACUUUAUUACUUGUAAUAAUUUAGUCCACUUACCAACUCGUCCAUCAAAUUUUUGGCGCUGCUUUCGGAGAUUGUUGAUAUUUAUUUUGUAUCAAGACAAUUCACUAAAUUUAUUUUGUAAAUAUUUUGUUUUUUAUUUUCUGUUUUUAGAACAAACAAUUAAAUAAGAGUCUCUAAUACUCUCCCUAAAAAUAAAAAGUCUCUAAUACUCUCUAUGUUCCUAGUUAUAAAAGAAUAUUCUUUUUCAGAUUAAUUGAAUAAUUUAUGUAUGUAAUAUGUAUAAUAUAUCAUAUACAAUUAUCAAUGAAUCAAAAAAAUUCCUCUUAUAAUUAGGAUUGGAUUGAGUAUUUAUUUAUAGAAUAAUUUCAAAUUAAACUAUACAAUAAUUCAUGGGCAAUGCUAACCAGUGUCUCCGGGGCACUGGAUAAGGAACAAUAAAUAGUAAUUAAAUAAAUGAAUCUCACUUAAUUCAUCUCAGUUAAAGUAUAAUAUAUGUCAACUAAUUAAAAAUAAUAAAAGCUAUAAUCAAUACUCUUUCAAUAUUCAAAGGCAUAACCAUUAUUACAGAGACGCGUCCUUUCCAUUCCAUCUGUUUACACCACCAUAUGACUGCUAUAUAUUAUCUCUCUGCAAUCAUCAGUACUAUAUUUUAUUCUGCAGCUAUUAUUCAAAUUUCUUUUUUUUUAUGCUCAAUUUAUUGGAAGUCCGAAUUUAUUAGGUAUUAUUCAAACUUUUUUUUUCUUGUUUCUAUAUGUUAUUGUUUUAACAUCAGGUAAAAAAAAAUUCCUUGAGUAAAGUUUGCAGGAAAAAAAUUAUUAAGAAAUGAAGGCUGGAAAUGAUUUCCGAAAUUGAAAUCACAAAGAAAAAGAGUGAAAAGCACGCGCGCGUGUGGUAUUUAACUGUGUAAAGGAAAGAAAUUUUGUUGUAUUAAUUACAACUAUUUCUUAUUUUAAUUAGUUGACAUAUUUUACAUAUAAUUGAGAUGAAUUAAGUGAGAUUCAUUUAUUUAAUGCAUAUUAGUCCUUAUCCAGUGCCCCGGGGCACUGGUUAGCAGCACCCUUUUUUGGAAAUGCUAACCGAUGCCCCCGGGGCACUGGUUAAGGAUAAUAAAAAAGGAAAUUAUAUGUUAAUUAUUACAUUGAAAAUUAUUAAUUAAUCCAUAAAUAAGUCAACAAAACUUCCUUUUAUAGUAAAAAUUUGCUUUUUUUUUUUUUUUUAUGUUUAACCCGUGCCCCAGGGGCACCGGUUAGCAUGACCCAUUUUACUCGGUUAAAGUGCUUUUACAUUCAUUCAAUUCAAGACUUAACACAUUUAAUAGUUUUACGUGUCAUGACACUAAAUUUUCUAAGCCAAAUAAUUAGGUACUCCUUCCGUUUCAAAAUAUAAACAAAUUUUACUUUUUAGAUUCAUUCAAUUAAUGAUGUAUGUGAUCCAUAUUAUGAACCACAUACAUCAUUAAUUGAAUGAACAUAAAAAGUAAAAUUUGCUUAUAUUUUAAGACGGAAUUGUUGGGAUGUUUGUCUGCGUUGCCGUAAUUUUUUUCCUUUUACAUGAGUUGAUUCCUUUUAUGUUUUCUCGAAAGAAUUUCUUUUAAUUAAGGGUGUUCAAAUCUAAACCGAUUCAGAAUAAAAUAACCGAUCCAAAAAAAUCGAAAACCGCAAAAAAUCGAAUAUUUUUAGAUGCGCUUCGAUGUUGUUUUAUAUAGACCGUUAGGAUCGGAUCAUUUUUUCGAAAACAAACCAAACCGAACCGUAACAGCAAAUAUUAAUACUUUUUUUUUUUUUUACAAAAGCAAAUAUUAAUACUUAUUUUGCUUUUUAUUAGUAUUCUCUAUUCCAUUAUUAUGUUGCAUGUUAGUUUUUUUUUUUUUUUUGUCAAGUAGCCUAGUGGCUAGAGCUCACACAAUUAAAUUGUGGAGAAUUGGAGUGUCUGGGGUUCGAACCCCAGCCCCGACAUAUAAUAUGCAAUAUCCCUACCAACUGUGUUAAGCUCACGGAGAUUAGUUUUUAAUAAUCUAUAUUAUUUUUUUAAGGAUAAUUUAAUCUAUAUUAUUAUUACUUUAUAUGUUUAAAAAAGAAUCGAUAACUUUCAUUCUGUACUUUUAAUUUUAUAAUAUAUUUUGCAUCGAACCUAUUAUUUGAUGUGUUUGUGUAAUAUUAAUAUUAAUAAAAUUAUUUUCUUAAAAAAAGUAAAUAGAAAAUCAUAUAUUUUGCAUUUUGAAUAUCCAAAAACCGAUCCAAAUUAAACCGCAUAUAUUUGGAUCAGAUCAGUUUGGAUUUUUUUAGAAUAGUCAUCCAAACCGAAUCGAACCGCAUAUGAUUUUUAUUUUGUAUUGAAUGACUUUUUAUCUCAAAAUCAAUCUAAACCGCACCGCGAACAUCCUUUCCUUAUAGUGCUACACUCUCCCAUACACACAUAUAUAUAUAUAUUUUAAAUAUGAAACACCGUUUCACGAAAAAUUGUUAUAUUUAUAGAAAUUAAAAACAUAUUUAUUCUUGUAUCUAAUACUUAUCUUUUAGCCGAUUAAAGUUUUAUUGUAAAAAAAAAUUAAAAAAAGCAAAUGGCGGGUGAAAAACACUUAAUAGAAGAGCGCGUGAAAGCAGGUGAGUCGAGUAGUGUGGUAAAUGGAAAAAUGGAAUCAUUCUUUUCUCCUCUAUUACUCCUUCCUUUCUUCUCUCUCUCUCUCCGCAAUUCUCUCUCUCUCUACAAAACCCUCUCUCUCUCUUCUGCAAACCCAAUUCAGGUUCGUUUUCCGAUUCCCAAGUUCUUUGUCUUUUCUUCCUUUUUCUUCGUUCCUUCUAUUUACGUGUUUUUCGCUCACUGUUCCAAUCUUUUCAACUUCUCAAACAUCUUCAAAAACUUUGCUUUUCUUCUUCUUCUUCUUACACUCUCAACUUUGGAACCGAACAACAAUUGGUACUAUUUUUGUUUUUCUGAUUGUUUUUAUUAUUACGUCAUUGUUGUUGUGUGUUUCAUCAAUUUGAGUUUGUUAUAGCUGUGAUUAGGGUUCUUACUUCUUCGUGUUUUUGUUGAUUUCACUUGUUUUGAAGGAGAUUUUGUUGUUUUGUAUCGAAUUGUUAAUGGGUUUAGUUUAAUUUUUGGAAAAUUUUGCUGCAUUAAAUUAGGAGAUUGUUUUUUGAAUUUGGGAUUUUUUUUGCUUAGGUGAGUGUUGUGGAAAUAGUGAAUUUGGUAUUGAAUUGUGGGAAUUUGGUUAAAGUUUGAGACUUUAAGUGAUUUUCAAAUUGUUAAGGAAUUUAGUUUAAUUUUUGAAAAACUUUGCUGCAUUGAAAUUAAGACUGUUUUGUAAAUUUGGUUUUUUGGUUUGUUGAGUGAUGUGUAAGCAGUGAUUUUGGUGAUGAAUUCGUAGAAAGUUUGAAGCUAUGAGUGAUUUUAUUGCAAUUAGUAAAGUGUGUAAUUUUGGGUUUUCUUUUGAAUUAUGUUUGCUUACUUCUUCUAGGUGAUUUGUAAAUAAUUGCUGCAUUGAAAUUACUCGCUUGUUUUCUGAAUUGGGAUUUUUUUUUUUGGGUUUUUUGUUUUGUUGAGUGUUGUCGAAGCAGUGAUUUUGGUGAUGAAUUUGUAGAAAGGUUGAUACUUUGAGUGAUUCUAUUGCAAUUUGCAAAGUGUGUACUUUUGGGUUUUCUUUGGAAUUUCGUUUACCUCUUGUUUACUUCUGGGUGAUUUUGUCUGCAGGGCUUUUGGAAUGUGUGUCUGCAACAAUGUCAAUAUAUUUACAAGAACUACUCUUUUGAUUGUAUUAUAUAUGGGGGAUUAGGCUUGUUGAUUAUUUGAUAAUCCAAUUUUAUUUUGUAACAGUGUGCUUUGGUGGUAUAGAAAAGUGACCGAUUUUUAUAGAUAAUGUUAUAGUUUGUUACUUUUGUUGUUGUUGUUGUACUGUAUUAUCUUGUUGAAGAAUUCAAAACAUAAUCGGCAAACGGGAAAAACUGAAUUUUGUUUGAUGGGUAAUAAACUCGGGAGGAGGAGACAAGUGGUAGAUGAAAAAUAUACACGGCCACAAGGUUUGUAUAAUCAUAAAGACGUCGAUCAGAAGAAGCUGAGGAAGCUAAUCCUAGAAUCAAAGCUUGCACCUUGCUAUCCCGGAGAUGAAGAAACUGCCGUAGAUCGAGAAGAGUGCCCAAUUUGCUUUCUGGUAUGGUUUCCAUUACAUAUCUCCAAUAGCUGUUGUAGUAAUUUUUUUAAAUAACUCAAUUCAACUUAGCGCACAUAUUUCAAUCUAUAUCUGAUGUGUGAUCAGUUUUGGGGUUUAAUUUAUUUUUUCUUCGAACCAAACUAAUGGAGAAUGUAACCUAGGAACAUUUCUACAUAAACAUGCUAAUCGGAAUUGAAGGAACACUAAGGGCCCGUUUGGGUUGUCUUAUUUUUUAGCUUAUGCAUAACAACUUAUGCAAAUAAAUAAACUUUUAUGCAUUAUUCAUUAGUUUGUUAAGGUAGUUUAUGAAAAAACGGCUUAUGAAAAUACAAUUUUCGUUAGUGAGAACUUAUGAAUUAACGUAAAAGCUUAUUUAUUUGCUUAAACUAUUUUUCGUUAGCUCAAAAAUAAGUCAAUCCAAACGGGUCCUAAGCAUAUGGACUGUUUUUUAGUUUUUGUUUCUUUGAACUCUGUUCCAAAAUGUGCAUUUUUCUUACCCCUUUUCUAAUCAAACUAUUCCAUUGUGCUUUGUUUUUUUCCCCAUGAAUUUAGUAUUAUCCAAGUCUAAACCGAUCAAGAUGUUGCACAAAGAGCAUUUGUACAGGUAAUGAUUGGUUAUCUUCACUGGUUGUAUACAUAUUCUGUCAUUAGCAUUUCUAUUCAACCUGAUUAAUUUCCUUUUAUCAGAGUGCUUUUUGCAGAUGAAAGUUCCGAAUUCAACUCGGCCUACACAGUAUCCUGUUACUAGUUGUCUGUCUUCAAUGUGAGGACGUAACUUCAAAUUGAUUGUCUAGCGACUUUCUUGUAGCUUUAGUAUUAGGAUAAAUGUUUGCCUUAACAGCAUUAGAUGUCCCUUCUGUAAAACGGCGAAUUAUGCUGUGGAGUAUCGUGGUGUAAAAUCAAAAGAAGAGAAAGGGAUGGAACAGAUUGUAAGUUGUUAUCUUCUAUGAUUAUUGUCUUUUUGAAUGGAAUUUCUAAAAAAACAAUUUAUAGUAAAGUCUUGCAUGCAUACUCAUAAAUAUUCAGGAGGAGCAGCGUGUUAUUGAGGCAAAAAUUAGGAUGCGGCAGCAGGAACUUCAGGAUGAAGAGGAAAGAAUGCAUAAAAGACUAGAAGUGAGCUCUUCAAAUGUGAAUGUGGCUGUUGCAGAUGUUGAAUACAGUUCAAAUGCAGGUAUUUUUAUUUUGAUUAAACGUAGUUCCUGAUUUUUUCUGUAUGUGUAAUGUGUCUACGUGACAAAUUCUAGUUGCAUAAAUUGUUUUGUUUAAAUUUCUGUAGUGGCUGAAUCUUCAACGUCUGCCAUUGAACACGAUGAAAUCGUCUCUUCUCAAGACUCGUGUGCCACACCGAUGGUUAGACCACCUCCUGCGACUAGGGCCAAUAGGUAUGAUAGCGUUCACUUCGUUUCUUUACCAAUCCCGCAACAUUUUCCUAUUAUGUCUCUUAGCGUUUCUGCGUCCAUUGUUUUUGUACCAACUUAUGGAUAUUUGAUCGUAUGUGAAUAUAUAUAAGUUAACCAUCUAUGAUUUUGUGCUAAUGCUUUGGAAAUUCUUUCAACCAACAAGGUUACAAGGAGUACUAUACUCAUAAAUUGUCUAAAUUUAAUUAUUUGAAAUGCACGCGUCUAUAUGUAAGCUGAAUUCAAAUCAUAAAUGAAUGGAACACUUGGUAUUGCAUGAGUCCCCGGGUUUGCGAUGUAAAUACUAAUAUUGACCGUCUUUUGAAUUAAAAUUAUGUACUGAAAAUCUCCCUGGAUGAUGCUGACUUCAGGUAAUUUGGUCCAGCUAUGAUGCAUUCAUUUUGGUCCAGCUAAGCCUUUGAUUUUUAAAUCACAACUAAAGGAAAUAUUCAUAGAAAUUCAUUUUUAUUUUCUGACGCUAGUAAUCCAACAUCUAAGUAAUCCAACAUCUAAGAAUUGGCCUGCUUCUAUGGGCUCUGCAGAAUAAAUCAUAAUUAAACCCACAGCAACUUCAAAACUAGUUUAAUUCCAACUUGAAUUUCAUUGAUUAUUUGUUAAUGGAAGUCUGAUUUCAUAAUUGCUUACCUAACAAAAUAGAUGAAGAGGGCAGUUGGUACAAUCAGUUAUAAUUUGAUUCCUUCGUUUUGAUUCAGUCGCUCACCUUGAACCAAUGCUGCUCCUGAUGUUUUGAUUGUAUGGAUGGAUAUGAUUAGGCAUGCGAGAAAUGAUGAGUCACACAGACUGACGAACAUUAAAAGCGAUUAGCUUUUUAAAAGGAGGAUUUGAGAUACUGAUAUGUGGCAAAUCCAUGAUUUGUUCUUUUGUAUCUGUACUUGAUUUAAAAUGUUUUAUGGGUUUGUUCAAUGUUUCAUUAUAUGCGUAAUUUAAAUUGAGAAGUAGAAUGAGACAACUGUUUAAGGAUUAUGGUACUACGACUAUGUUUUAGCUGUGCCAUCACUAUCCAUAAACCAUUUUUAAACUGGCUUGUUUGCUACAAUGUGCAUAUCUUAGUCUGAUUUUAUAAUAUAUAUAUAUAUAUAUAUAUAUAUAUAUAUAUAUAUAUAUAUAUAUAUAUAUAUAUAUAUAUAUAUACUGUGAAAUGGUUGCUGCAUUGGUCCUGCACUGAAGUCCAAGGAAGCACAUAUACUUUAAAAUUGGUGCUGUAUUAUUCUGUACUGCCUGGCUGCAUCCUGUAGUUUUUAUUUUUUGAGCUAACACCAAUGAUAUAUGACAAUAGUUGCAUAAAUGGUAGUCUCUUAUUGCAUUUCCAUUUACUAAUGCAAGGCUAAUGACAUCCAAGUUGAAGCCUUCACCGUUAGUCUGUUACUCCACCACAUAUAUAUUUUAGAAAAUCUUGCCCAAGAGAAAACUCUUUUCUCUAUUUGUGAUGGUUAUAUACACACAACACAGGUGGAGCCGCAUCAAUUUUGUUUGUUCAUUUAUGUUGAUGUCUUGCUAAAUAAGCAGUAAAUUGGUGUCCAUGGGUCUUUUAUAUAUUCCAUUUUUGAAAUUAUACUUUCUGGGCAUAUUUGAUAUUUUUUACUAAAUGUCGUAAACUGCAGAGAUGAUGAAUUUGAUGUUGAUCUUGAGGACAUAAUGGUCAUGGAAGCAAUCUGGCUUUCGAUUCAGGUGAAGAAAUAUAUUCGAAUAUACUUACUGUGAGCUAUCAUUGAUUUGAUUACAUUAUUAAAAUUGAAGUUCACCACUCCCUUGCAAUAUAUAGCAUUUCACAACUUGUUUCAAUAUCUAUUAAUGAAUAACAAUAUGCUAGAUAAUCUAUUGUUCAGUGCCAAUUGUCGAUCUAUUUUGAAAUUAUAUAGUUUCAGUUUAUUUUUCUCAAGAUCUCUAAGACAUUUAUAAAAAAGAAGCAAAUUCUUCACAGGGAGUGCAAUAUUUGUUCUUGUCUUGUUGAACCUCAUUAAUACUAUUUUUUACUUCUGGAAAGUGAUUUUUGGAUGAAACAAAUAUAUAAUAAUCCAUAAUUGAGCUUGGUACACUACUUUUGUAUAUAUAUUAAUAUUAACUUCCGAACAACAACAAAGAAAAACCCUCUUCAUUUAAAUUUCUUUAUUGCUUGUGCAUUUCUAGGUAGUACUUACUGACUACUUAAUACUUUUAUAAACUAUUGGAAUUCCAUAACUUUUCAUUAUUUAUGUCCAUGCUGUGAGACUUAUAUUUUGGCUUGUUGUGUUUUUGUGUCCAUGUGAUGUGAUGUCUAAUUAUGUUCGUGAUGACUAUACCUCUCAGCUUUUGACUGACCCGAUCAUUACAAAAGAACAAUAAUAAUUACUAUAAAAUACAUCUAGUUUCUAGAUAUAAUUAGCUCAAAAAGAUAAUUGAUGCAUAAUUUUAUACAGUAAGUUUGCAUACAAGCUCGCAUCUAGUAGGUUGCAAUAGCACUCCAAAGUCAAAAGCAAAUGCCCAUCAUUUUGGGUGACAUUUAUAUUGUGGAAAAACGACCCUUCCAUCCAAACCAUAUAUUUCCUUUUUCUUAAAGAAAUGUUAAUUUAUACUUGGGUCAUUAAGAACUUGUACAUUGCAGAGUAUCCGCAACUGUAAAGCAUAAGGUAAAAGUGUAAAACUAUAAAUUAUGUUGAUAUUAUGAAAUUCAGUGGUGGAUAUGCUGCCAUGUAAAAGAUUUGGCAAACCUGAGUCCAUGGACACUAUUAUGUGGCUUGUAUAAUCGUGUUUAUUUGAUCAUUGUGAUUGACUCAAUAUAUGUAUUAAAAUUACAGGAGAAUGGCAGGCAGAGAAAUUUAUCUUUUGCUGAUGCUACUUCUGGCCACUACGUAGCUGAUGAUCGCUAUGCUUCGUCUCCCAUGGUUCAACAGGCAGAGACAUCCUCGUCCCCAUCCCCAUCGGGGGGUCUUGCUUGUGCCAUUGCAGCUCUUGCUGAGCGUCAGCAAAUGUCGGGAGAAUCAUCUGUAAGCUCCAAUAAUGAAAAUACAUCAUUCAACAUGCUACCGGGUUCCAGAAGGUUUUAUAACCGGAUUGGUAGAGAUAUGGUUAGUUAUUCACCCACAGAAAACCUGGAUGAGGGGCCACCAGAUGAUACUAUGGCAACGACUAGGAGUCAUGGUCAAUGGAGCAUAGAUCAUGGAUCACAGGUAGCUGAAACGGCAACUAGCUAUGCAAACUCUGUUGAAGGAGAAGAUCGUGGUGAACUGUCAUCUAUGUCACAGUCUAAUGACAAUGAUGGAAGCUUUCAAAGUGCCACAGAACCUAUUGUUCCUGAGAGUUUUGAGGAGCAGAUGAUGCUGGCUAUGGCUGUCUCUUUAGCCGAAGCUCGAGCCAUGCCAAGUGGACAGAGCGCUUCAUGGCAAUAGUUUUGGUCAAGGCACUGCUUCAAUCUUUCUUAAAUUGGUGAUGCUUGCCUUGACUAUGUGGCCUACCGGGUCCUGUAUUUGGAGUUUGAGCAAAAGUCACACGUUGUGUGCAAUUUUGGUCAAGGAUCAGGUAGUGAUUCUCUUCUCACAUGAAUUUAUAUAUAUAGAUGUCAAAGGAAAACUAAUGAUUCAAGUUAGUGAAAGGUUGUUGCUUAAUGCCAUUUUUUUUACUGUGUGAUGUCUCCAUGCUCUCAUUGAUUUUCUGUAAAUAGUUUUUGUCUUUUGAUAAAUGUCUUUUCAUUCUUAUAGUAAUAUGCAGCGCAUUUUAGAAUUGUAGAAUUGUAAUGAACAAGAAAGGAAAUUAAAUAUCUAUUUCAGUAAAUUUCAUCAAUCGUUACAUUCAUUAAGACCAUGAAUGAUGUUAAACUGCAUGGUGUCCCACUUAUAAACUUCUGAGGAAUUCUGCAUAAAUUGUCUGAGUGACCUUCGGAAAACUAUUAAGAAAAUGUGCAAUCGUAGUAAUACACUCUAACCCACUCCAUUAUCGAGUGAAAUUCAUAUUAUCUUGUUCAUUGGUAGGACACAUUCAAAGUGGCAAGACUCGCAUAAAUUUCAUUCCAUAAUAGUGUAUUGCUACCAUUUCUCUUCAAAGAAUUUGGAUUUAAGUGGUCUGUGACUGGACCUUUUUCAUCAUGGGAUAAAUUUGAGAAUUAUCUGAAGGUAGAAACAAAUAAUUUUCAUGAUGGGAUAAAAAAACAAAUUCUCUAUAAAGAAUCUUCAGGAUGGGAUAAAAAAACAUGAAGGUAGAAAUAAAUAAUUAUCUGAGAACUCUAAAACUGAUUUUUUUUCUUUCCCUUUCUAUAGUUUAAAUAAAUAUGUACAAAAUAACAAAACACACUCAUCAGUUAUCACUGAAGUUAAUAAUGGAUUUAAUUCCUCCAAAGUGGGGCAAUUCAUAUUAGAAGCAAGAGAUCCUAAUUGUUGAUGAAAGACUCCAAUGUUUGAUAUUACAGACACAUUGCAAACAAAUCAUGAAUAUGUUUAAAUAUCUACUAUAUGAUAUUCUCAAUAACUAAAAUGUUCAACACUUUUGCUUUUUCUUGUGAGAGCUUAUUUUGGAUGCUAAAUGUUAGUGUAGUUUGUUCGCUAGAUGAAUGAGUUGAUUUGGUGUUACAUGAGAAAUUCUAGACAUUUUCUUUUCUGAUUAAACUGUUUUUAAGUGACUGCUCUUAGUUAUGAUGUGAGAACAAAAGAUGGAAAUACAAAAGAUUUUCUGAUAACUGAAGGUGUAACCAAGGGUCAAAUUUGAGCAUUUAUUUUUUCAUGUUGGUUCUAAAUAUGCUUAUUGAUCACACCUAAAAGAUGGGGUGACAUGCAUGAUUUUGUACAAGGGAAUGAAUUUUCUAAUGAAUCAGUGGUUACACAACACAAAAUAAGAUUAGAUAUACAAAUAUUUUAGAUAGAAAAUUAGAGGAAAUCUAUUGUGGAAGAGAUGUUAGUCUUGUCAUAGGUGGUUUGUCCAUGUUGGAAGAUACAUGUAAAAGCAUCAAUAAGGGAGAUAAAGGAAACUAUAGGACAAAAUAUUAAGCGACAUGUAAAGGUUAAUGGUUUAUCUGUAAACCUAAUAAAAGGAAGAACUUUAUGACAUCAUCAAUUAAUUUAUGUAGCCAAUCUCACCUACUAGGAAAACUUUAGUUGUAAUGAUCUAAUUUCUAGGAAGGUAGUUAGCUUCCUGGUGAAGCAAUUUGAAAAUUUUGUUGAGAAGAAUUGUAAGAUUUUUUGAGAUAAACAUUGUUAUUUAUGCAGAUCAAUCAGUGUUUUCACAUAUUUAUAUAUUUCAUAUUUUACUUGUCUGUUCAUGAAUCUUUUACCAUAUUGUCACUAUAAGUAGGUUGUAUUGGUAAAAUUUGGCAGACCAAUAUGAUUGUCACCAUUUGCCCUGCCACUAAAUAGGCGUCAAUGUCAGAGCAGUAACAAUUUGGAUAUUGGAUUGAGAACAUGGUGAAGAGUGGAUAUACUAUGCUUACACUUGGCUCUCAUAGUUCUAAGAGAUUAUAUAUUAUUUGGUGACAAUUUUUUACUCUCUCUCAAUUUUGGCCCUUAGCAGAUAUCAUAGCCCACUCAAACUUUAACACAUAGUUUUAAAACUCGGCUCGGUCUUCGACUCGGCAGAGACAUUGGAUAAUUGAGUCGAUGGUCGAAUCAUCGGGUCACUGGUUGAACCGCAUGGCUGAAUCGGAUUAAACCGGAUGACUCGAUUAAAUAAUUCGGUGUUUAUAUUAAAUUUGUAUAGGUAUUUAAUCAGAUUAAAUCGGAUUGAACCGGUGACUCGGUCACUCCAAAAACUAAAAUAAUGACACAUAAAAUAGAAUAAAAAUAAAUAUCCAACAAACAUAAUUUUAUAGACUAAUUAUUAUGAGUUUUAAAUGAAAUAUUUGAGCUUGAUAAUUAUAUAUGCUUAUUUAUUUAUUUUUUGUUGAAAUAAUUAUAUAUGCUUAUGAGUUUGGCAAAGUUUUUUUUUUUGAAAGAUGAUUUUGACAAAGAUUAUAUACGUUUAUUUUAUGAGGUAUUUUUAUCAUAAAAAAAUAAAAGAAAAUUGAAAGAAGCAAAUUGAACACAAAAACUGAUAGUGUUUCAGUGGCUGGGAGAGUUUUCUUUAAUAGUUGGGUCACGAAUUCAACUCCCACCAAAGCUACUUUUUACAAACAUAAUUUAAUUAAAAUAUGUUCUUGCUUCAAACCGGUCCAACCAAAUACUCGGCCGAGUCACCGAGUUUGAUCGGUUUUUGCCGAGCUAACUGCAUGGCAGAUCCUGCUCGAACCGGCCUACCCACGGUUUGCGGUCCGACCGGUCUAUUCAACAUUUAAGUUUUUUUUUUUUAAGGAACUUCAACAUUUAAGUUGAUGUGUUCUAUUCUUUUUUUUUUUUUGAAAUUCCAUCCUUUUUCAUUAAUCAAACAGAGGAGCCUGAACGCGGCUUACAACAGGAUUACAAAAAGGAGAAGAGAAAAGGCAUGGAGGGGCAUUCCCCUGCCAGCAUCUAGUUCCAACAGACUUUGCCAAAGCGGCUAAAUUAUGAGCUUCAACAUUGAGCUCUCUACUAACAUGAGUAACCAUUACAAAUGGGAUUUGUUCAAUUAAAUUCCAGCAAUCAACAAUAAUAGGUGUAAUAGAAGCAACUGUACUGGCUUUAUUAACACAAUUCACAACACUAAGGGCAUCACUUGACAGUUUCAGACUCUGGAUACUUAAACCUACUGCCUCUUGCAGCGCCCAUCUGACUCCCAUAGCCUCAGCCAGACACGGAUCAACCUCCACUGCUUCCAGCUUGCUCUUGCUGAGAGUGAUUUGUCCGGAAAGGUCUUUCAUAAUCAAUCCCCAACCUGUAUGUCCAUUGGAGAAACACCCUGCGUCCACAAAUAAAUGAUGUUCUGCAAUCUGGUCCGUGGUAGUAGGUUCCCUCCUGUGGUAGAUUGGAUGGGGUCGUUGCUUGGCAUUUGCUGCGUUAAAUUCCUGGAUAAACUGAACCGCAGUUUGGGCUAAGGUAACAGGAUCAGGGGCAAUUCCUUUGAAGACAGCCUGGUUUCUAGCAUACCACAACUUCCAAAGAAUGGUACAAAACAGUUGUGACCCUUCCUUGUCACGGCAUGAAAGCCAGUCAAGCAGCCAGCAGUGGAUAUCCAUAUUAAAAGGGGCAUGAGAUCCCAAAGGUGAGGCAAACAGGGCUCAUUUUGACAAGUUACAGUUCAUAAAUAAGUGUUCCACAGUUUCCACAUCAGAAUGACAUAACGGGCAUAAAGGAUCCAAGGAUAUACCUUUCUUUUGUAGAUCGUGCCUGGUUGGGAGGAUGUUCUUUGCCAAACGCCACAUGAAGUUUUUCACUUUAUUAGGAAUGAUUGCCUUCCAAAUUUCUUUCCAGAGUCUCUCGUUUCUGUGGUAGGAUGGUCCCGGCUGGAGGUUUUCUCUUUUUUUGCUCAAUAAGUGGUAAGCCGACCGUACUGAAUAGCAGCCAUCUUUCUCCCAAUGCCAGCAAAUUUUAUCUCUAGGAAGGGAAUGUGAUAUAGGGAUACUUACAAUUUUUAGAGCCUCCUGCUGAUUGAAAACAUUAUAGAUUAGGCUUCUAUUCCAUUGUCUCGUAGUUGUAUCCACAAGUUCUUCAACCAAGGCUUCCUCUCCUAGAAUACAAGAGUCCCCCCUUGAAGUUAUCAGUUCCAGACUCGGCAUCCAGACAUCCUUCUAUCAGUUCCAGACUCGGCAUCCAGACAUCCUUCCAGAUUCUAAUACUUUUUCCAUCUCCAACAAUCCAUCUCCCACCUUCCUUAACCACCUCCCUUGCACUGAUGAUGCUGCGCCACCCGUAGCUAGGUUGAUAACCGGCUUUUGCCUCCAGAAAGGUGACUCUAGGAUAGUAUCUGCUCUUUAACACUUUCCCAAGAAGUGAGUCAUCUCCGUUUGAGAGUCUCCAGCAAUGCUUCCCUAGUAAGGCUUUGUUGAAAUCAGAGAAGCCACGAAAGCCUAGGCCUCCUCUUUCCUUGGCUUUUGAGAGUUUAGCCCAACUCAUCCAGUGUAUCUUCCUUUCCUCUUCCUUGGACCCCCACCAAAAUUUUGCUAGCAUGGAAUCAAUGUCUUUGCAGCACCCCUCUGGCAGCUUGUAGCAACUGAGAAUAUAGUUUGGGAUUGCUUGGGCAACUGCUUUUAUGAGAGUUUCCUUCCCUGCUCUUGAUAAGAACCUUUCCUUCCAU